rnacentral:lncRNA from 1 species
CCCGUAAUCAGACAAGAUCCAUGUUCGCCAUGGCUGCAACUACAGUUGCAUGUGAAAAAACAGGGCAUAGAAACCCAUUUCACAGACAAUCCGGGUCGCCCAGCCAAGAGAUGGGUCCUUUCAAAUGUCUGAUUUACUUGGAAAGUGUCAUCACAGCCACUUAAUUUUCCUGCACAUUUUCUCAGCAACCAAACAGAUACAAGAUCCUUCUCAGAAAACACAUUUUAAAACACAAACAAAAAAACCAAAACAAAACAAAGAUCAGCCUCAGCGCGGAAGUGAAUAGCGCGUAAAAGGAAGGCUCAGAUUCGCCUUUUAUCAGACAAGAAAAAGAUGACCGUCAUGGUUGCAACCACAGUUGCUUGUGAAACAAGGCACAAAAGGUCCCAUCACACAAACCAUCCGGGUUGCCCCGCCAAGAAACGGACAUUCCCAGUGCCUGACUUACUCUGAAAACGUCAUCACAGCCUUUUAUGUUGCCCAUAUGAACAGAGAGAGAGAGAGAGCUGUUGAUUUUCCAGAGAAUCAAGACAGCCUCUGAUAUAUAUGUAUAUAUAUAUAUAUAUAUAUAUAUAUAUAUAUGUACACACAUGUGCAUGAAAAGAAAGGAAAGAAAAGAAAGAGCCAAGGAAAAGGGCUGUUGACGGGCGUAGUAGAAGGAAUCAUCGGCUCCGACGACCAUGAGAUUCAGAGAGGGGCAACCACCCUUAGAAACUCCCCAUCCCUCCGACACAGUCCCUGGAGCCUCACUCACACACGUGUAUGAAAAGAAAGAGCGAAGGAAAAGGGCUGUUGAUGGGCGUAGUAGAAGGAAUCAUCGGCUCCGACGACCAUGAGAUUCAGAGAGGGGCAACCACCCUUAGAAACUCCCCAUCCCUCCGACACAGUCCCUGGAGCCUCAGUCUUAAACCAAUGGGGUUUAGCCCUAAGAUGUUAUUUGGUAAUCUGAUCAUGAUUUGCAGGCAAAGGUUGUGUUUUUCAGCCUGGCUCAAAAAUUGUGGAUUUAAGGUUCGUGAAAUUUAAAUCCAAUGGCACAAAAGCAAAGAGACCCCUAGAACAGAUCCAGAAAACACAGGGAGCCAAAAAAAAAAAAAAAACGCAAUUUUUUUGGUUUUCCUUGGGGGUUUUGCAUGAAUUUUCUCGGAAAUCAAACAAGGAUGAAUUUUCCCGGAAAUCGAAUGGGGGAUGGAUUUUCUUGGAAAUCAAACGGGGGUUGCAAAAACAAAAAAUAAUAACAUGAUUAGAUUAGUACCUGCGAGGAUUGAGAGUGGCAGAGGAAAAUAGGGCUUUUUAAGGGAUUCUCUCGUCCGGAGGGCAAGUUCAGAAAAGGGCUUCUUGAUGCCCCAGUGAGAGAAGUGGAUGGCCCUUUCCAUUUUUAUAUUUAGUAGAGAGAGAAAACAAGGAAACAAAUCAUGAGAACAAUUAUUCUCUCUAUAUAAAUAAUUAUUAAUUAUCCAUCUUUAUUUUGAUUAAAUCACUACCAAAAUUUGAUUUUUAUAAAUUAAAAUUAAUUUGAUAAGAUAAAUUAUUAAUAAUUUUAAUUAUUUAAAUAAAUUAAUGUUAAUAAAAAAAAGUUAUUACCACAUAUUUUUAAUAAAAUCUUAAAAAUUAAAUAUCAAAUAAAAUAUUUUAUAUAAAUUAAUUUAAUUUUUCAUUUAAAAUGUAAUAAUACAUGUUUUAAUAAAAAUAUUUAAUUUUUUAAAAUAAAUAUUAUCUUCAAUAAGAUGGACUCCUUUCAUCUAAUAAUAUGAUACUAAAGACUAUUAUAAUAUCAUAUAUAUUAUAUUUAUAUAUAAAUUAUUUUUAUUCUAUAAAAUCAAAUAUUUCUUAACUCAAUUCUAACUUUAUACACUUUCAAAAUUCAUAUUUAUUAUUCUUAAAAUUCAAAUACCGAAUCUACUAAUAUUUUCUAUUUAAUCAUAUUUAUGUCAAUUAUAUUUACAAAAUAACUUUAUAAUAUAUAUUAUUGUUAUUUUCCUUUUUUUUUUUUAAGUUUUUCCAAACAUUCUUAUAAAUUUUAAAUAAUUUUUGCUCGACCGAUAUCCGUUUACCGAUCUUUACUCUGUAUCUAUCCAAAAUAAAUGAAAGAUAGUUUUUUACAACAAUUUUUUUAAUGAUUUUUAAAUCAAAAGUUAGUUUUAAAAUCUGAAAUAUUUUUAAUCCACUAUUAUGUUUUUAAAAUUAUAUAAUUAUUUUUUAAAACAAUAAAAACAAAUAAAAUAAUUAAGGUUAUGUUUAGUUUAUUAAAAAAAAUGUUUUAUCAUAUUUGAUUUAAUAGUGAAAAUAAAAAUAUAAUAAUAAUUAAAAUUACUUAAAAACCAAUGUAGCUUUAAAAUUUUUUUUUUGAUCUUUAGCUUAAAAAAGAAAAAUAAAUAAAACGAAUUUGACAAGAUAAUUAAUCUCUCUGAAAGGAAGAGACUCAAAAGUUUUGGAGGAAGAAAAAAAGGGAGUAAGAUUUGAGGGAUAAAAAUAAAGAAGGAACAAGUGGGUGGGUAUUGCAUUAUAUCCAUGAGUUGAUCAAUAACUAGCUCCAUUUCCUUUCCUUUAUUUUCUUGCCAGCCAAACAAAAUCUUAAGUCUGGAACCAUCAUCCCAGAAACCAUUUAUUAAAAGCCAUACGCCAAGGAUUCGUAUAACACCAUGGAAUCAACCAUCAUCACCCUCUCAAACCUACAUGCCAUAGCUACACAGACUCUACUCCCAAGUUCCCAAAUAACCAAGCUUCAUAUCUACUAGCUCCAAAAUGGUUAAACAAGAUGAAAGAAGGAAAGGAAGAGAUUACUUGAUGAGAGCCUGGUAAAGGCAGAUCUGCAAAAAUUACAAGCCUUGUCCACAUAGCUUUAUGUGGUCCCAUGGUAUCUAUUUAUAGCCCCAUGAAAGCAGAAUUACUUCUUCAUUACCAAAUGUCAGCAUAGGCAAUGCCCGACCUCCAUCUUCCCAUGGCUGCCAAGCCCUUUUAUCAAUAUGUGAAGAUGCAAACCAAAAUGGUUAGCCCAUCAUCCAAAGCUAGCUCCUCCUCCUUAUUUACACCUAACGGUUUCCCUGAUUCACAACAAGUUCAAUUUCCUUGCUCGACAUCUUUCAGAUAGAACAGAACAAUUACGAUUACAAUCACAAAAUGUAACACCACCCCACAUCUUCCUCUGUUUAUCUAAGCAUUACAAGACCUCAAAGUUGAUGUUCCAUCAUCAUAAUAGGCAUGGUGUAUUUCCAGUCUCAAACAAGUUAAGGUUCCAUCCUAACACCAUAAUGGUGGGUUGUUUUACUUCAGACAACGAAUCUGAGUCAGUUAACAGGCAAAAAGAAACAUUCAAUAGUUCAAGAAGAUCACUUAGAAUUUUCUGAAAACCUCAAAACCGUUUUCAUUUAUAAUUACAAACCAACCCAAAAAUUGAACAAUACGAGGCACUGGGCUGAACAAUCACCUCAGAACUCUGGUAAAAAAGAUGAAGGUUUCUAUAGAUAAAAUGGCCUUUGCAAAUAAAGCAAUGAGAAAAAUGGGAUAUAAAUUAAGGAAUGAUAGAAUGAAAAUGUUGAAAGGAAUUGCACAUGGCUUCAAAGAAUGAAUAGAUUUGGUACCCUUGCCGAGAAAUUACAUGGCUGCCUUGCCCCUCUGUUGAAGUACUACAUCAUGCACAACUUCCCCUGCUGAGUUAACAAAGUAGGUUUCCUGCCAUGGAAAAAGAACAUUUGUUGGUGCUUCAACAAGAACAAAUUUAGUAAAAAAAGACGAAUACUCACAAUCUCUAAGGAGCUGACUCUAUGAAGAAGGAACCCAUUAACCAUUCCCCUGAGGAAACAAAGAAAAAAAUUUCAUAUGUAUGAACCAAUGUAGAACACCAUUAGGAACUAUGAACAGAAAUACUCACUUACUAAAACCUGAUAUUUGAUUUACAGAAGCAAGAGGAAGUUUUUCAUCAAUUGAACCUGGGUUCCUGAUGUAGGCUAUACUAUCUUUACGAGCAUAGUCACUACAUCCCUCCCCACUCAGGUACACAUCCUGAUGAGCAAAUGCAUGGAUAAAGCGUUACUUUCUUCAUAGGCACCAGAAAGAUUCCAAAUUUGACAUAUCAGAAAGUUGUUCAUUCAAUUCAUUAGGAACUGUCUUAGAUUUUCAUAUAUAUUGAAAAUUUUGGACUUUGAUCAUCUCAAAAGCAAGUUCUCUAAAGAACCCAAAAUCAAAACCUUGGGCAUGGGAUGUCUUCACCCAUUGAUACUCAAUGGGGAGAGCCAUAAAUACUUACCACUCCAAACUUAUAAAAAAUAUGGUGUAGAUGCUCAUAAAGUUGUAUUUCUAUUCGUUCCCUGUUUCCUUCACAAACAGCCAAUGAGCAGAAACCAACAACUAUGCGCCUGGAUCAUAAGGAGGAAAAAAGGAGACAAUUAGUACUUGGGAAUUGGGAUGGAUAGUUUCUUUAUUAAGUUAAAUAUGGAGUUGAAAUGGUAGGGGUGCUUGGCAAUGGCAAUAGGACAGCAAACAAUGAAGGUCCAACAUAGUAACCAGAGAAAACAAAAGGAAAACGAAUGUUUUAACUCAACAAUUUGGGUUAAGGCAAAAUUUAAAUGAAAACCAGAAUUUUAUUGUUGAAAGAAAGAAAAUUUGUGAAAUAAAAUUAAGUUGAGAAGUAGAUUAUCACGCAUCAGAACCACUCUGAACUGACAUGAUUUUCAAAUUUUUCAAAAUUUUCCAGGCAUUACAACCUUGCUUAUUCCUAGGUUCAUGCAAUUAUAAACAGCCAAUAUGGUGCAAUGUAACCUUACCAGUCGCUAUCUGAUGUUUCUAGUGUCUUUGUCAGCCCAUGUAAUUGAUCAUUUCCAGCACCAUUUAACGGAUUCAUAAGCAUAAAAUCCUUCAAGUUUCAAAGAGGAGACCAAUUAAGAGGAAAGAAGAAUGAAAUGCGGCAUAAAGGAGCAGAAACCAAAAAACAGAAACAAAUGGGGGAUAAAAUGUGUGAUAAAUACAUCUAUGGGAUAUUGAUAGUGUAACUAAAUGAAAUAGAUAUCAAAUCAAUCAUAUACACAUAUAAAUACAACACAGAAAUAAGCAUGGCCAUGGUGAAAAAGGGCUGCAAUGUGGGUUGUAACCAGAGAAUGGAAUAUGGACAAGGAGCAUAAAAAAUGAUUUGGCAGGCCAAGAAAUGGCUAUUUUAAUAUGAUGAAAAAGAAAAAGAACAAAAAAAAUUCAUUAUGAACAUGACUUGAAGAGUACACCUACGCUCAAAUAAUGACCAAGUGAUCAACUUUAAAAUCACAUUGCUAACCUCAGCCCUACCCCUCAUGGAAAAAUGGAAAAAAUAAAUAAAAAGAAAAAAAAUUCUUAGAAGGCCUUGAGAAGGGUAAACCUGCUGGGACUCAAACCCGGAACCACCCCACAUCCCCACCCUCAACCCAAGCUACUCGAGCCACGCCUCAAGGGUGAUAAAGAUCUAACCUUCAGCAUUGAAUAAAAAAUAAGCUAAAUGUGCAAAAAAUAUCCAGUAUUUUCUCAUGCAUUUUAAUUGCUUACUAGACUAGAUAGAAUCUCCAGUCAUUGAUGAGAACAAAGAACUCAGUGUCUUUAUUAUUAUUAUUGAAUAAAAAAUAAUCUAAAUGUGCAAAAAUAUCCAGUAUUUUCUCAUGCAUUUUAAUUGCUUGCUAGACUAGAUAGAAUCUCCAGUCAUUGGUAAAAUUCAAUAAUUCCAAUUUCCACCAGUUGAUUUGUCAAGUCCCUAAUUAAAUAAUGAAAGAUAAAAUACUUUGAUGAGUUAUAUACUAAAAUAUUUGUGCUUCCCAAUCUAAUUCUAACAAGAACCCUACAAAAUGCACACCUUAAUCCAACUCAACCAACACUCAAUCUUGCGAUUGCCUCAUAGUCCACAAGGUACAUCGGAGAGACCUAACUUAUCUUGAUGUUACAAGAUUUCACAUGAACAUCUGAAUACAUCUCCUGGGGCAUGGUAAAGAUGAAUAUAAAAACAAAAUGAAAUCAAUACAAGAAGUUGAUAGCCCCUCUAUGAUCAUAACUGGGGUCAGCACAAUCAGUAACAUAAGAUUCAUGGCGUAGUAUCGCAUUCCAAACAAUAAAAUAUUGAAGUGUAUCAUAAACUCAACACAAGCAUAUGCAAUGUCAAUUAUCAUUAAGUCAACAAUGAUAUUAAACAUUGGUAUAAACAAUUGAAACAAUGACAACACAAAAGGAAAAAACCUUAUACAACUAUUAAUCUAUCCUCUUUGGAAGUCUUUUAUCAUCUUCCACAAAUUUCCCAUUUUCCUCCAUAUGCUGCACAAAAUCCGACCCCAUAUUUUUUGUAUCUUUGUCAUCAUUAAAGGAAAUAAAUGCAUGCAACUUUUAAAGAUUUGAGGCCAUGUGAAAAACUUGUCAUUUGAUGUCAAGUUUUUUUAUAUGAAAAAGUUUUCCAAAAUGAGAAUGGCAGAACUAUCAAUCUAUCUUCAUCUAGGUUUGGAGCUUCUUGAGUCUUUUAUCAAUUAUCAUCCACCAUAAAAUUCCAGUUUUCUUCUGUAAAUUGCUCAACCUCCAACAUAAUUUUUAAUUUUUUUUCUAAUUAAGAUUAAAUACAUGCAUAUUUUGAAGAUUAAGCCAUGUGGAGAAUUGUCAAUCAAUCGUAAGUUUUUCCUAUAUCAAAAGCAUUUUUUAAAAUUUUCGGCCUUGUUGGAAAAAAGACCUAAUGAGAUGGGUUUGUAUCACAAAACACUAAGGAUUGACUCAAAAGUCCCAAUGAAAUUAUAGCUACUGUAAAAACCAUGUAACCGCUUUCAAGCUUAAACCCAUAUUACAAGAGGAUGGUGGAAGAGGCCUCUCUUCUGACUGACAUAAUAACCAUGAGAAGUAUUAGCCAACAAAUCUUAAAUUGAGCAAAUUCAACAAACCAGUUGAUACCUUAAAUGCCCCAGUAUCCAAACUAAUAAUGUCUAAGGUCUUCCCAAAAGGUAUUUUGAUCUGCUUUAGGAAGUAACCUGUUCCUUGUCCUCUUGAAACUCUGGUACUGUACCUACAAGAAUUACAAUUCAGGAUUACCACACAAAGAGACUAAACCAAAAAGACUGUUACAUUAAAAACUACAUUGGAGUCCAAGUUUUGUAACAAUGAAAUUUCAAAAGAUGAGCUACAAAAAUGACACAACUGAUUGCAAAGUGGAUGGCAUACCAGGGAACUUUCAGUGUUGAAAAACGCCAAGUACCCUGUAAAAGAAGAUGUCAUCUUCUAAGAUUGUUCCUAACAGAUGAAACCAAUGAAACCUAAUUAAACUCAGCAGUAAUUUAUUUUCUAAUCACACACCUAUAAAGCAAAACAAAAUAAAACUACAGAAUUAAAUAUGAACCACUAUUCCAUUACUCCAACCAAAGCAUGGUUUCUAUUAUUUCAGUUAAAUUCACAAAAAGUUAGGAGAGAAUCAUUUCUACAACUUACCCAGAGUGAAGCAAUGCAUAACUUUGAUUAAAUUUGGCUAAACUAUGACAACUAAAGCUUCCAUAUAAAUGGAGUGUAAGCCUGAAGGUGCCACAAGAAAGUUCAUAUAACAAAUAGUAAAAGGGCUUCCCACAUUGAAUUUACUAGCCAUGGUCUUACAUUCUGUGUGAGUGGAUCGUCUUCCCCAAGUUCACUAAUGUUUAUCACAAACCUUGCCUCAUAAGUCUUUGCCGCCUUCUCCAUCUUCAUGGGAAAAAACAAUUCAAAUUAGAACAGGGAAAAUAGAAUAUAAACUCAAAAUGCUAUUAAUGUUAGUAGACGAUAAUCAUUUAAUGCAACUAAGUUCAAUAACAGAGGGGGGAAAUAACAAAGCCUAAAAACAGAGAAGGUGGAAGGCAGAAGUAACUUGGAUGAAUUAGAACCAAGAAGACAAGACAAGAUCAAAACCAACAGAUGAGAAGGCUGACACAAACAAUUGAGAGAGAUCAAAAACUGAACCAUAUAAUAAAAAACUCACUCACAUGAUUAUUCUUUGGCCAAAAGAUAAAGGUUAUGUUUGGUUCCAAAAAGUACCAAGGAAAGAAAAAAAUACUAAGAAAUAUUAUUAUGUUGCAUAUACAAUUAAAAACGGAAAAAGAAAGAUCUUCUAGGGUUCAACAACUGUCAUAUUAAAAAAAUAAUAAAAAUAAAAUUUCGAUCCCAGUAAAACCUAACACAAAAUUCUUUCCUCAAAGCAAAAUCAUUCACAUAGAAAGUAAUUGAGAAAGAAAUAAUAAACUGUUUGGUUGCUGAGAAAAUGGAGACAUAGAAAAGGAAAUCAAAAUUUUGAAACUCUAUUAUUUCCAUUAUUUGAAGGCCUGGAAGAAAGAGGGAAAAAAACUUCCACUCUUACCUUAAUUUAGGUUGUUUUGUCAAUUUCGAGAGGGGAAAAAACAGGAAAUUAAUUUCAAGCGAUUUCACUUUCAGCAUUCUCAGCAACCAAACGGAGCGUCUGAUAAAACUAUCAUAUCCACCAACAGAGCCAAAACCAAAUAUACCCACCAUCAACAUCUUAAAACAAAAUCCAUAUAGAACGAGAAAAACCCAUGCUUUUCUUCAAUGAACAAAAGGAAUCAAUAGAGAGGAUGAGAAAUAGACCUGUUUGAGAAGAUGGGUUUGUUGAUUAAGAGGUCUAAAUCCUCCUCUAACACUGAUAAAGUAAAGGUCAAGAGGCCUGCUACUGCCACUGCUGCUGUGGGACAUGGGCUUCUCCCAAGGCCGACCCAAGUUGAAUGCAAGCAAGACAGCCAAGCAGAGAGACAACUGUGUUAUAACAGUGCGAACCCAUGAAGGUUUCCCCAUUGUUAACACAGGUCUCACAGCCUCAGCUAUUCAACUGGUAAUUGAUUUCACUCAUAGAUCUGAAGAUAUAUGAGGAACGUAACCGCCGUCACCCGUAUCUCUAAUCUCCUCAAUGUUAUCUGUAGGGACCCCUCCCACACGUGGCACACAUUUUCAUCCGAGUUAAUCUCAUCCGGAUUUCCCCAAGAGUACACGUGGUGCGCUUCUCCUAUCCGGACUCCCUCAAGAAGAGGCACACGACACUCACAAACAUAACAUCCAGAUGACUGCCACAGCGCAUCCGGACGACCGACAUACACUAUCCGGGUAUAUAUAUCCGGAUCAUUGAUUGAAGUAAGCAAGUCUUACACGUUAUUACAACAACCUGUCAUGGCCCACGUUCCGCCACCUGUAGGGUGAAAGGACAAGAAUGAAGUGACGGCAAGUCACUUCCUGCGAUCACUUCCCACGAUUUCUGACAGUCGCAGCAACUACCACGAUCUCUAUCAGCCGCCUAUAGGGUGAUGAUGGCCCUGCCACCACCUAGUGUCAUCAUGACAACACAAAAUAUCUCCCUACCAUUAAAGAGAGAAACAAAGCUUCUGAUAUUAUAUAUAUGAACCUUCACACAAGGAGUAAGGUAAGCUUGCUAUACCUAGUAAAAUGCCAACUGAUUUAUCUCUCUCUAACCAUGGCUGACAAAACCAUCGGAGGGUGCGUCCGGACACCCUGUCCGGACGCCUUUUGCAGGUAGUACGAUUGAAUCAAGAAUCUAUAUUAGUUGAGAUCGUGCAUCCACCCAUUUGGCAACUAAGUGGAUCACCAGGGAUGCGACGCUUCAACAUUAUCAAUUGCUUGAUUAAGAUAUUCGCUAAUGAAGCUCCACUUGGCAGGCAGGACCCAUUAUUGAAGGGAAAUGCCUUUAUAGUUCGUUUAUAUUAUGGACUCUCGGACUAAAAUCGCUUUGUCAUAUUUGAAACUUUCCUCACAAACAAACGCACCAUCAGCCAUUAAACAUCAUAUUUCAGCAUUCUUUUUUUGCACAUUGUCACAUUCCUAUCUCCUAAUUUUCAAAAAUUAUUUUAAAUUUAAAAAUUGAGUUACCACUUCAAAAUAUAAACUUUUAAAAUAAAAUUAUGUACAUUUAAAUCCAUACUAAAUAUGUGUAUUUGCGUUUAUUGCCUUGUAAUAAUAUUUUAUUCUUUAUUAUUAUUAUAAUUUAGAUGAGUUGGUUCGAUCUAAUAUAAUAUUUGAACAAAUUUGGAUAUUUAUUUUUAAUAUUCCGAUUAGACUUUGGUUCAUUUUUUAAACCUCAUCUUAAUUUGGAUUUGACUUGGGAGAUACCUCUAAUGAAAAUUAAUAUGGUUCUCUUCAUACAUUCUAUUCUACUUUUCUUUUAAUAUCUUUGUUUAUUCUCUCGUAUUUUCUUAUUCUUAUUCUUUUAUUUCACAACAUGUUAUCAACAGAGUUAUGAAUAUAUAGAAAAAGAGAAGAAUACUUAAGGUAGAAAAGAAAAAGAGAAUAAUUCAUCUACAAAAUUUCUUAUAGAUAUGUAGUCUUAUUCUCUUCGAAUGAAAUAUGAAUAGUAUGCAUUGUAUUAUUAUAAUUUUUAUUUACUUUAUCUCAUAACCAGAAGUUAUGUGAAUCAUAUUUCAUAUAAUUACAUAUUUUAAUUAUUUAAUAACUAGAAAUUAUAUAGAAAGUUUUUUAUAACCAGAAGUUAUGAAAAAAUAUAUGUCCAAUCUUCAUAACUAGAUGUUAUGGAGUAAAUUACAAAAACACAAAUACGUAGUCGGAAGCUAUGCAUAAGAUCCCUAAUUACUUUUUAAUUGUAUUAUAUAUCUAAAAGUUAUAUAAAAUAACAUUAUAUGGCCAGAAGCUAUAUAAUGAAUAGUUCAUAACAUGAAGCUAUGUACAAAUCCAAAAUUACAAAUAUACGACCAGAAGCUAUGUAUAUAACUCAUAAUUAUUUGUUUUUAAUUAUAUAGUUGUGGACCCGCAAAUUUCACGUGCGCCCCCACUCGAUCGACGAGACUCGCUUUUUGUUGGUGAAAAAUUAAUUUUGGAAAAUUCAGAGUCACCACUUAUUUUAUUUUUAUUUUAAAGGGAAAAUAAAAUAAGAAAUAAAACUCUAAAAAAAAUGACUCCAUAAUUUUUGGAAAAGCGUGUCUUUGAAAAAAAACCCGAGUCUAAGUCCGGGGAUUAGGUUACUUAUUGGGUAGGUACCUCUAGGAGGUAGCAUCUUUCUAAGCCCUAAAGAAGUCUCUACUGACUAAAUUGGGGGUAAUAUAGCAAUUAAUUGAUUAAUUGGGGAUACCAAGAUAGGUUAAAGUGAUUUCAAAAAAUAACAUGCCAAAUAGGAUCAAAUUACCAUAAAAGAGAGUUAGGGUGCAUACUUGGACGACUUCUCAAGAGCUAUCAUAAAACAUGAAAGUUAGUAUUGAGAUACAUCACACAACACGCAUUUUAUCAAAGAUAAUCAAACAAUGAUCAAAUAUAUAUCAAGGCAAUCAAACAGGAUAGCAAGCAUGGACAUAGUACGCAACGACAAUCAUAUUCAUAGGGUUUAGAAAGUGGGUAUUAGGGAACGUACCUGGAUAGCAUUUAUAACUCCUAAUGCACUUCCUCAAGACAUGGGGGUUAGAUAAUAAAUAAUAAAUAGUAAAUCCUAGCAUGCUUAUCUAAUUAAUUAGCAAAAAUUAUCAGAAUACGGAAUAAUUAAUUAUCAUACAUAUCUUGUAUACAAUUCCUAAAAAGAAAAAUGUAAAUAUAAUUACAAUAAAUAGCAGGGUGGUAGUAAAAAUAAAUUUUGAAAAAGAUUUUCUUAUGUAGGGGUUUCACCAAUUCCCCAAAUUAAUAUACACAAAUUUAGCCUAAAAUUAUCCCAUUUAUUUGGGACCACAAGCUUUCAUUCGCGUUUUGUUCAAAACCAAAAUUUUUGUUGAAAAUUGAGAAAGAUGUGAACCGAUUAAGAUACGGUUGCAUAUUAUUUUUUAAAAAAAAGAAAAGAAAAGAGAUUUUGAUUCUAGAGGCUUUAAAUGAAUUUUAUAAAAAUAAAAUAAAAUCUUAAAAGGUUUUUUUGAGAAAAAGAGUUUUGCUUUAAAAUAAAAGAAAUUAACUUUUAAAAUAGCAAAAAUAGAAAACAAAAUAUCAAUCAAAACAAAAGGAAACAAAGAUCACAAAAUAAAGAUUUUAGAAAUUAUUGUCAAUUAAAGUGGUGAGAGUAAAGGCCAACCUUCAUGGGUUUCCAAUGGCCCUAAAAAAAAAAAAAAAAAAUUUGACCAACAAUUACUAAGGCAACAAAUUUAUGACUUCCUAAUCAAACAAACUAACAAAAUUAUCAUACAAAAACUAACAUUUAGAUUUCAAGAAACAUAUGAAUAACUAGAAUUAAAAAUGUAAACUUUACCUCACAGGAUCAAUUAAACUAAAGAAUUAAGAUUGAUAACACGUUCAAAUUAAAAAUAAACUAGAAUUUAAACUAAUCGGAAUUAAAACUAUAAACUUUACCUUACAAGACCAAUUAAACUGAUAGAUUUAAGAUCAAUAACUCAUUCAAAUUAAAAAUAAACUAAAAUUAAACUAAUUGGAAUUAAAAAUAUAAAUUUUACCUCACAAGAUCAAUUAAACUAAAGACUUAAGAUCAAUAACAUAUUCAAAUUAAAAAUAAACUAGAAUUAAACUAAUUGGAAUUAAAAAUAUAAAUUUUAUUUAAACUUUCAUGUAGAUUAAAAUAAACUAGCAUAGAACUAAUGAAUUGCAAUCAUAAAAGAGAGACAUUUAAUCUAAGAAAAAUAAAAGAUUGUUCGAAAUCGAGAUUUAAAAGAAUUUAUCACAAACAAUUAAUUAAACCAAUCAACAAAAACCCAAACUAAAAAAAAAAGAAAUAAGAAAUAAUGUAUCAAAAACCGAAAACUAACCUGUAUUGUAUCGGAAAAAUACUCUCUUGAUGUGUCAAAAUGACAGCCCAAUUAGUCUUUCAAGUCCUCUGCCAUUCCCCAAAAAAAAAACUCUUGCGCGUGCCCUCUCAAAAAAAGAUUGCCUCUUGUAUGUGGAUCUCUGCUCCAAAAGAAAAGUCCUCUCCCUGCGCCAAAGAAAUAAAAUUCCCGUGUCUGUCUUCUCUCUUACUUCUUCAUCAAUUUUCAGCCGUUGAAGACCCUCGUCAAAUGCACAUAUAUUUAAUAGAAAAUUCAGUCACUUCACUAACAACAAGGAGUCAUAAUUUCCUCCACUAUUCUGCCAUAAUUUUCAGCUCACUUAUCAAUGCUCCUUCACCAAAUUUCCAACGCAUUUCAUUGUGAAUUUUCAGCCAUGAAAAAAAAGCUUCCAUUCACAGCCACAAUUCCCGUGUGUCCACCACAAAAUUCAGUUUUCAAGAAUUCACCUUUUGCAUGAAACUACCAUCAAAGGAAUUCUCCAUAUGCAGCCAUAUAUUCCGUGAUUCAUCCAUGGAGAUUUAUAAAUUCAAGGCCAUUAUCUCCAUUAAACUAUUUUAAAAUUCAUCCAUGGAGAUUUAUAAAUUCAAGGCCAUUAUCUCCAUUAAGCUAUUAUAAAAUUCAUCCAUGGAGAUUUAUAAAUUCAAGGCCAUUAUCUCCAUUAAGCUGUUAUAAAAGUCAUCCAUGAAGAUUUUAUAUGCAAGGCCAUUGAAACCUGAUUGGAAUCAAGUAAUUAAUAUUCACAAAGUGGCUGCCCAUUCUCCAUCAGAAUCAAAGUGUUAACACGGCUGAAAGUGAAUGAAAGCCUUUCCCUUUAACCAAGGCAUCAACACGGCUGAAUGUGUAUAGAAUCUUCUUCAUUAAAUCAAGGCGUCAACACGCGUAAAGGGGAUGAAAUUCCUGCCCGCUUCGAUGGAGAUCUCCCCUCCUUCCCAGAAUAGUGCAGCUGAGUUCCAACCCCCCACCUCAAAAAUCUGAUUCUAAAUGUCUCCGACCUGUUGUGUGUGUAGCUCUCCCGAUCUGACCUGUGCGCGUGUUCUUGGAAAAUCAGAAUUGUGCGUGGACUCCUUCAUGCGGCUGUGGAGACUUCCUGAAGUGGUGUGUGGCUGUUAGUGCGUGGUCCCCAUGCUUGAGAUUCAACUUAAGCACAUGCAUGCAUGGAUUCCUUCAAUGAGAUAUCCUUACUCAUUUUUUGCAUGAGUUUGUUGACGUAAGUUACUAGGGAGAGGGUAAAUCCUUUCUUUCUUUCGCUAUUAGUUGAUCUAAAGGCUUUUAUGGUUAUUGAGUGCACUAGACUAGAAACAUACUUGCCCCAUUAGCAUGCAUAUAACGGAGCAACCAGCCCCCUUCAACAUCUCUCAUAACGUGUUCUACACUGUUGAAAGCUAAAUCCACAUGAGGUGUGUGAUGCAUAGCUAAAAAAACGCCAGUGACUAAAGAUUUUCGGAGAAGUGAUGCAAAACCUGUCUAGUCCUCUCUCACUGCAAGUCAUAGGGCCAGAAAGUCAAGCAUGGCCCAGCCCGUACCUCUCUUUCCUAGCUUCAUCUUGGCUACGCUCGAUCAUGAAACUAUCUCACCUCCGACUUUUUUUCACUAUUUACUCUUCUCUCAUUCAUGCACCAUACAUCUUAUCUGUAAUGAUAAAUUCAGAAUUCAAUCUGCUGUUUCAGUCUUAACCUCAAUGAUUGCUGGUUGAUCCUGAACUUCAUGCUUAUUUGCCCUUUGUGCAACUCUUAUUUUUUUCUUGGAUUGGUGCACAUAUUCUGCUGUUAUAAUAUGGAUCUUGGGAGUAGGCUUACUUGAUGAGGCAACAUUAAAACUUGACCUUUUUCCCGGCUCGGUGGAGAUAUUUCUGAGCCUAUUGUAAGUGGACGGUACAGAGAACAAGAAUGAAAGACUUCAAUAUUGGCUUCCCACAGGUUAUGGGUCCCGUCUGCACUGUCUUGAUGACAUAAUCACAGGGCUUGUAAAUCCGUUGUUUCGGAUCACACAGAAUAUGCAGAUAACAGAACCUUGUUAGCGCCCUCGCCUAAUCCUCCUUGAACGUCUGUAUAAUCAAAAGCCCCUCAUCUUCUUCCCAAGACGUCAAUUUCUUUUUGUAUGGAAGUUUCCAUAUAUUCUUCUAUGGGCAGCAACUUCUUUUCUUCCUUGUAGUCGUGUCUUCCUUAUAUGCAUGGUGGAGGUAACUUUAUAAAAUAAUGCAGCUGUCACUUUCCUUUCUCUAAAAUUUUGGUGAUCUUCCUUCCAAAUAGAUGGCAGCCCGUUUUUUAGAAAAAUAAUAAUAAUAAUCUUAUUUCCAUCCUUCAUUCAGCCGUGAUCUGCUUUCCUUUCUUCAACACUAUAAAUCUCAUUUCCAUGUUGCAUAGAAUAUCCCCACAUAUAUGCAGCCGUGUACAUUACAUCAAGAAUCUUCUCCAAUGUGUGCAUUCGAAUCUCAUGCCAAAAUAAAAAAAGAAUUAAAAUUAGUAAAGGUCAUGAAAUUGAAAAUUAAAACUAAUUUAAAAUUAUGCAAUUAAAAAAACAUUAUGUCUAUCAUAGGUACACAAAAAUAAUUAAGACAUCAGUUUACACAAUUAAUCAUCAAUCUCAUGCAAUAUUCUAUCAAAUAAAUAAAUAAAAACAAAUAACUAACCAAAUAAUAAUAAAUAAACAAGUAAAUAAAUAAAUAAAAUAAAAUAAAAUAGAUAAAUAAAUAAAUAAGAAAUCGAGUACAUGCAAACAUUAAAAGUGCAAAUCAUGCAAAUUAUGUAAGUCAUGUAGGAAUUACUGAAAAGGUGACAUAGGUGGGCCAGGAUGCCUAAGUGGACCUAAAGUGAGUGCGUGUAGGCUAGAAGGUGCCUAGAUGGGUCUAAGCGGGUCAAGGUGAAUCUAAGUGGGCCUAGGGUUGUGCUUAAUGGGCCAAGUGUAUUUAAAAACUAUCCUAAAAAUGAAUGAAAAGCCUAAUUCUAAAUUAAGGCUGCCAAGGGUCACAAUAAGGAGUCAGAUAAUCCCUCAACCAAAGUCUCCGAGAUGGCUCAAAAAAAGUAAGUAGUAUGAGUAGCUAUGGGCCACCAAGGAACUACUGUAAAGUAUCAAAUAAGUAUCUAAUAGGGCAUGUGCUAGGAGGACAAAAUUGAGGGUCUACAAUAGUAUAACUGAAAGUUAUACAAAAUAAUAUUUUAUACCCAGAAGCUAUAAAAUGAAUAGUUCAUAGCUUGAAAUUAUGCACAAAUCUGCACAAUGAAUAGUUUAUAGCCUAAAGUUAUGCACAAAUUUAUAUAAAAAAUAGUUCAUUGCCUAAAACUAUGUACAAAUUUAAAUAUUUUCUUGUUCUAACAAAAUAAUCAUAACUUGAAGCUAUGAAAGAUAUUAACUUUUAAUUUCUUUAUUUUCUUUUAAUUAUAUUGUUGUGGACCCCGCAUUUCGGCUCAAUGUGUUUCCCACUCGAUGGCGAGCUCGAUUUUUAUUAUUUUUGAAAAAUUGAUUUUUAUUGAUUAUUUGAAAAUGACUUGGAGUCGCCACUUAUUUUUGUUUUAUUUUUAAAGGGUAAACAAAAUAAGAAAGAAAAACCCUAAGUGUGACUCCUCAUUUUGGAAAAGGUGAUCUACGAAAAUCGGAUCAGGUUCGGGGGUCAGGUUACUUAUCGGGAAGGUACGGUAAAGACCGUAGCACCCCUCUAAGUCCCUAAGUCGGGUCUCUACUAAUGAGAUGAAGCUGACAUGGCAAUCAAUGAGAAAAUCAAUAAAUACUCGAACCAAUCAUGCACAUAUGAGAGUCAGAAAAUGCAUAUAAACUAACCAGAGUGGGAAUGAAUGUGUACCUGAGCAGCGAGCCACUAUGCGCUAUCAAGAGAGAGGGUUAGUGCAAAAUAAAGAGCAUAAACAUAGCUCACAUGUCACUAAAUCGAGUACAAAAUCAUCAAAGGCACGCAUGACACUUCACUCAAAAUUCAUUUUUAUUUUAAAGAAAAUUUAUUUGAUGUUGGGCCCUCACCAAAGCCCAUUUAUUUUGCACGAAUCAAUUCCAUAAAUCCCAUCACCUGAGAAUUACAAAAUUUGAUUUUUGGCUUAUUUUAAAACAUUUUAAAAUCAGAGAAGUUAUGAAAGUUGCAUGCCGAAGAGAGAUGGCGGCAAAUUUUAUUAAAAACAGAAUUUUGGAACCUAAAGAAAACCUAAGGAUGAAAGAUGGUAAAUAUUGAAAUUAUUUGAAAAUCGAUGUUUAAAAAAGUUAUUUGCAAGAAAGGAGUCAGAAAAUUAUUUUCUAAGCCAAAAGAUUGAUGGAAUGGGAGGUGACACGUGACCCAAAGGUGGCCAUGCAGAGAAAAUCCCAUUAUUAACCCACUUUGAAGGAGUGUUCUUUCUCUUAUUUCCUUUCUCAGUACAACGAGCCUGAUUUGAGGAAAAAACUGAGUCAACUUCCAGAUUUAGGGCCUCUCAGCAAUCCUUGAUUUGAUCUAUUCUGGGUUCGACAAAAGAUCUUCCCUCUGCAUCUCAAUCUCUCUUUCCUGGUUCACAAUCUCCUUGGGAACAUCUUCUAUAACAAGAGAUUGCACUUGAGGACAGGCAACAACUUGCAUGGCCAGGUCAUCAAUUAGCUUCACUUCUUAUCUCUCAAUUCGCAUCUUCAACAGUUUUCAAGCAUAGAGUCUCCUUUCCAGCCUCACCUUGGCCUCCUGAGUUCCAUUGCUUCUUGCAUCACUCGCCUCGCUUUACAGCAUGUGAAGUCCUGUACUUCCACUGGAGCCCAUGCUAAACUGGCUAUGGAUGGCUUGAUGGAGUUGCUGCCGAAGAUGAAAUGAGUAAAGGGCCCCUAAGUUAAACCCAUCAUGUCGUCCCAUAGGAAAAUGCUGAAAUUGCAUCAUAGAUACAACACUAUCACAAAGUUAUUCUUUCCGGUGAGGGUCCAUAGGAAAAUCAGUAAUUCCACCCUUAAAUCCUGGUAAUACAGGAAAAUCUUCAUUCUGGAUACUGAAUUCUCAGUUUUGAUGGACAACUCCAAUGCUUUGUUUCCACAGAGAACCCAGCUAUCCUUGAAAACUACCAGCAGAAUUGGGGUGAGCGAUCAGUUGGGGAAGACAGCAACAACACGCACUGAAUUUGUGACGAAACAUCUGAAAAGCGGGAUACUAGCUGAUGAAGAGUGUAGCUGAACAAGUGAUGAGAAAAUUACUGACAGCACGGUGUGGGUCGCCAUGGAUGGCACUCUAUAGACGGGACUGUGGUCUGGGAAUGAGGCUCUCCGAUGUGAAUAAUCGGUAUCUUAAAGGCAGUCUCAUCAGUUAUAACUUGGGGAUGCAAACCGCACACCCAUAUCAAUGAAACCAAUGAUAACAUACUCUUGAUCCUUGAUGGAAUAUCAAUCUAACGACAUAGGAAUCCCAGGUCAAUCUGUGAAACAAAGGGACCUCAAGGUGAAUGGUCAGCAGUGCAUUUUCGUCGUCCUCACGGAAAUUGAUGUCACAAACGGGCCUUCAUGAUUGGAUUUUCCUUUUCACUGUUCCAUUGAGGAUGGUAUUUCCCAUGCAUUUUUCCAUUUUGCAUGAAGAUGAGAAACUUCAGAACAAAUCUCAGCAGCAUAUGUACGUGCCAAAUCCUCUCUGAAAAGACACGGUUGCGAAACAGAAAGAGUGACCCCCAUUUACAAAAUCUGACGAAAGGCACAGUCGAUGUUUGGUCUGAAAUGAGUAUCGGAGCUGGAUAAUGAAAGGGUGAUGAGUUGGAGUGGUUUUGGGUGCUAAUGUAGAGUGAGAACUGUGAUGACGGGUAUCAGUGGGUGAUGGCAUCCAUGAGUGAGAAAUGGAUAUGCAUGAAGGGGUGUGGUGUAGAAAUGGAAAAGGUGGCGGAGGAUUCAUGAAGGUGUAGGGCUAUGGGCAUGGUGGUGUGGGAUUCCAUGAUGUGGAGAUAAGAGUGUGGGCAUGGUGAGGAUCUUACAAGUUGAUGGAAAAUGGUGAGAGAGGAAUGGAUGAUGAAUUGCAUGAAAAGUGGUUUGCAUAUGGUACAACAGUGGGAGAAAUGUGUAGGUGGGUAUGCGGUACAAAAAAAGGAAUGGGUAUAGCAAGCAUGAGGUGUGAUAGCUGGUGCAUGAUGACAAGAGUGAUGGUGAGCUUGAGGUGGGUUUGAUGCCGUGGAUGCAUGCAUGGGAGUGAUGGUAUGAGAUGUUGGAAGUGGGCAUGGGAAUGGUGGUCAAUGAGAAGGGUGAUCACACAAAUGAUGGAUACGAGUAUGGGGUAACAUGAUGAGCAAGCGGGCAUAGAGAAUAAAGAUGAAGGGCCCAAACCAUACUUCACCAGCUAUCUUAAGAUAAUCCAAAUCACCAGCACUAAGGGGUUGCCUUGAAGAGAGGAGUAAACUGUGAAUCUGAACUUGAUAUUUUGCCAUAAUCAACAGAGGGUCGUGCCAACAUGAGAGACCCAAAGACAGAACCAAUACCACUUCCAACAACACUGAAGACCUGAAUAACUUGAAGAUCGGUACAGUUAUUAGCCAGGUUUCUGAUGCAAUUUGAACAGAGGUUGAUAUUCUCUUUCCCAAUGAUAUAAUGGCCACAGGCAAAGUUAUUGAUAGCGUCCUCCUUGACACUGAUGAAUUGCUCUGAACGAAAAGGGUUGCCUGUGUGCUCCAAGCUCCACUUAAUUAGUUACAGUAGGCUCAAAGUAUGCUGGAUUGGCACGAAAGACAUGCUCCCUAGCAUCGGUUUCAUCUCAAUCUCUUUUGGAUGACCAUAAUAGGUACCAAAGAAGCCAUGGUUGCUCAACCUGGUUCGAAUCUUCCCAAAGACUCUAGUACCGAUUUCCCUUAGAAACGCCCAAUCUCAAACGGCCGAUCCAAACAAAACAACCAACACUCCAAAAGAAUACCAAAAACAGAGGAGAAAAUAUUGAAAGAAUGACACAAAAUAAAGCGAGGAAAGCAUAUUUUCAGAAGUUUCAUUUCAUGAAUCAUCCAUGAACCCUCUGAUUAGGUGAGAAAGACCCAUCUCCCAACACGACUACAAGCACUCAGCAUAACAGAGACUAUCAUACUCAAACCAGCAGUGGAUAAAAAUGAAUGCAAGAUUUAAUCUCAACAAACAACAAAGCCGCCUUCAUUAUCUACCCCAAAACAAACCAAAUGAGUAUCCAAAUAUCAAAAAAAAAAAUAUGUAGAAGAAUGACAAACGUACCUGAAAAUCUCUUUCUCAACCAAGUAUAUGGGGCUUCAAAUCCACUGCUCUGUUUCUAGCUUGCUCUUUAAGUCAAAACCUUCCUCUGUAACUUGUUUGCCUUCCCAGAGUUUGAACCUCUUUGCUUCCUCAAAACUCAAGAAGACCUCUCUUCUCAAAACAAUAUCCUCCUAAACGGUCAGAAAAAUUACCUUUUCUCUCCUCUCAGACUAACACUCUCUCCUCCCCCUCCCCCAAUGGAACCUCUCCUAUUCUCUCUCCUCUAUUUUUCCUCCAGUAGCAAAAACUUGAAUCUCAAGCAAGAAAAUCGUCUCUGAAUGUGAAUCUCUCCCCUCUCCAGCCAAACUUCGGGAAGGAAACCACACUCCUCACAGCAGAAAAAUGGCUAUCACCCUCACUCUCAGUAAGAAAACUCUCCCAAGAAAAAAGCUCUCUCCCCCUAGAAAAUCUCCUUUCGCAGCCCAGGCACUUCACCUUCUGAAACUUAGAACUCUCUGAAAAACCCCGCCUGGAACCCCCACUCUCUUGACCUCCAAGCCAAAGGAAAAUCCCCCUCACGGCUCUCUCAUCACUGCAAAAAUCCCGCACCUCCCUCCAGAAUAUCUUUUUUUUUUUUUUUUUUCUCCUCUAUAACAACUUUUCUUUUUCUCCCGGAUUUGCCCCUCCAACCCACUCUGCCGCAACAGCCCCCUUCCUCUACACCACCCCUCUGCUAAUAACAGAAGACGCUCCUCAAGACAACGGCCUGCAGAUCCUCAUGCCACCUGUCAACCUUCCAUUGGCAUCCUAAAAGCAUCAUCUGAUUCUGCACCAGCCUCUCAAGAGAAGACACGUGGUGGAGCAAGGCUCUUCCACGUGGCAAAAUGAGCAGCUGCCUGAAUGGCCCCAAAUGGGGGGUCUACAAUUGUGUAACUGGAAGUUAUACAUAAAUAGUUCAUAGUCUGAAGUUAUGCACAAAUUUACAUUAAAAAAAAAAGUUGAUAACCUGAAUCUAUGUAUAAAUUUGCAUAUUUUCUUGUUUUGACAAAAUAAUUAUAACUCAAAGUUAUGAAAAAAUAUUGGCUUUUAAUUUUUAUUUCGUAUUCACUUAUUUUUCACAAUAGAAAUUAUGGAAAACAAUUUUUAUUAACAAUUCUUUCAUAGCCAGAAACUAUGCAAACAAUUUCUAAUUCUCUUGUAUAACCAGAAGUUAUACAAAACAAAAUUGUCAAUGAACAACUAUGUACCUAGAAGAUAUAUAAUUUUUUUUAAAAUUUUGUUAUAUAACCAGAAGUUAUAUCAUAAUAUAAUUGUCAAUUGUUUAAUGUUAUUGUAACAUUACUUAAAUUUUAAUUAUUCAUAACCUGAAGCUAUGAAGAAAAAGUUAGUAAAUUAAUAAUUGUUAGAGCUUGUAUAGCAAGAAGUUAUAUGAAUAUAUAUAUAUAUAUAUAUAUUAUAUAACCAAAAGUUAUAUAAAUAUUAUUAUUCAUAAACCGAAGUUAUGAAAAUAAGAAAAUUAAUAUUCUUUGUGCUAAUAAAAUGUUAUGUCAAAGUUGGUAAUAUGUACUUUUUUAUAGUUAGAAGCUAUAGAGAACAAAAUUGUUAACUAACAAUUUUGUACAACUUUAUGAAAUUUAUAUGACCAAAACUUAUAAUGAAAUAUAUUAUAGCUUGAAGCUAUGAUAACAAGCAUAUAGAUAAUAUUUACAUAUUAUCAAAAGAUUAAUAUUUUGUAUAUCAAGUUAUACAAAUAGACAAUUGUUUGAUAGUUUUUAUAAAUUUCUAUUAUUAGAAGUAUACUGUCAUUAGUAGAAAAAUUUAUAUAUAGAUGUGGAAUUUUGAAUUGCAUGAAAGUAUGAUAUUUUUGUAUUAUAGGUGAUAGUUUGGAAUAUUUUUUUUAUUCUAGUUAUUUAAUAUACAAUAAUAUUUUGAUUUAGAAAUUUGAGAUUUUUUGGGUACAUGUGAAAUAUAUGACUUGGUCAUAUGAUUAAUAAAUUGAUUUCGCAUGUCUUAUUUGUUUAUAACAUGUUUUUAUGAUUGAAAAUUUUUGAGUUGUAUAAAAUAAUAUAUAUUAUUGCAUGUUGUCACAUAUGAUAUUUUUAUUAAUGCAUUAAUUUCAUUAUUCAAGAAUAUCUUUUCAGAAACAAUACAUUCAACUAUUAUUUUUAAUAUAUUAUGUUAUAUCUUUACAUACAUAUUUAUAUAGAUUUGUAAUGUUUCGAUUUAAGUUUUGAAACAAUAAGAUGCUUUAAAUCAUGAUAUGUUCUUUUGAAAUUUUGAUUUAUGAAUUAAUUUCUGCACAUUGAUUUAUAUCGUAAUAAUAUUUUGAAUAAAAAUUAUUGAUCUAUCACUACAAUUAGUUUGAUUAUUGAAAGACUUCCUAGUUAUUUCAUAUAUAAAUUGUUCCACACUUAUAAAAUCAAAUGUGUGAGAUAUUUAAGAAACAAAUAACUUUAAAUUAUCUUUUUCAUAUUUGUUUUGUUGUGUUAUAUAUGCUUUCAUUGUUUUUACACAACUUAUUAAGGUAAGUCAUCAUCGAUGACUAGUAUAUUUCCAUUUGAUUUUAACUCUUUUUCUAUGAUAAUAUUUCUUCAACUCUAUAAAGGUGAGGUCUUUAUGACAUGUUUUAUGACUUGUUAUUUUGAUGAAACUCUUGUCUCAUUAAUUGCACAACAUUGAUGACAGACAAUGUUAAUACUAUAUCAGGUGAUAGAAACCUAAUUAAAGGCUCCAGAAUAACUUAUACUAUGUCAUUAGUAGUAUUUGAUUCUAUGUGAAUGACACUUUAUACGAUGCUAGAUCCAGAAGAAUCUUGUAAGACCAACUUAGUUCCCCAUGGUAAAAGGUCGUAUGGAUGUACAUUAUAAAACCAGAAGUUUUUAUUUUGUAACUAGUCUAUCUAUACACUUGAAAGAUAGAAUGACACGUUGUGCAAAUUAUCAUUUUAAUUAGACAAUUUUCUCGCCGUUAGGGGUAGAAGAGUCAAUUCCAGAAGAACAGCGUGAAAUUAUUUGGAAUGCAUUGACUUUGACUUAUCUUGAUCCUCGUACUAAUCAAUGUGAAGUGGAAGUUCAAAAGAUUAUUUAUUUGCAAGAACUUGUAAAUCAACUACUAAAUGUUUUCAUUGAUGCAAAGAAAGUGACGAUCAUUUUCACUUACCUAGAACAUUCCAGUACGAAUUAAUGUCCCUGAAUGACAAUUAAAUAAUGCGUUGAUGUCCCUGAAUGACGAUUAAAUAAUGAGUUGAUGUCCCUGAAAGACAAUUAAAUAAUGAGUCUAAUGCACACUUGUAGACCCCCUUUUAGGUCAUUCCUACCUUGCAGCUCAAUUUUACCACGUGGAAGAGCCUUGGUCAGCCACGUGUCAGCACCUGAGAAGCCAUGAGAGAAUCAUAAUAGUGGUUUGGGGAGCCAAUCAGGAGGUGACGCGUACAUGGGAAUAUACUGGCCGUUAGAGGAGCAGAUGCUGGCAGCUGGAGGUGAGGUGCUUUUGGAGAGGUUGCCAGCUGCAGGAAGGGGGUGUCGUCUGGCAGCUAGAGGAGCUCUCUGAGCAGGCCGUUAGAGAUUUUUUUUAGGUGAGAGAGGGAAGCUAAGAAGAGGAAAAAAAAAGUCAGAGGAGAAAGGGGUGAGAGUUUGAGGAGAGUUUGAGAGAGAAAAGAGAACCUGAGGGAAAACGAGACAAGAAGGCUGGUGAUAGGGAAGCUGACAGCUGCGGGAAGGUGGUCCGGGCUGCCGUUGGGUGAUUUUUCGAAGGAACGUUUGAGGCUGGAAUAGAACAUCGGCACUCUCAGGUAUGAAAGCAAAAGGUUUAUUGUUAGUUUUUUAUUCUUAUUGAUCCUCCAUAGUUGCUGUUGAUAUUUUGAAUGUUGUUUAGUUUGUUGGGAUGAAAUCUUGCUUUCACGGUUGUCAUUGCUGAUUUUGGUAUACUCUGCUUCUAUUAUGAAUGUGCCUCAAUGUUGUGUUUAAAAUGGAUUUUCUCACCUAAUCAAAGGGUUCAUGGAUGGCUCAUGAAAUGAAACCUCUGAAAACCUUUACUCGUUUUCUUUUUGUGUUUUUUUUUGUUUUGUUUUUUUUAUUUCAAUGGGUCCUUCUUUUGUUGUGGCCAAUAUUCUGCUUCUGGGUCUCGUUUAAUGCCAUGGCUGUGAGAAGAGGUUAUUUUGGGUUAAAGAAGCAAACAAGUUGCAUGAGGCUACUUUUGGCUGUUAGAGGGGAAUAUUUUUGAGGGAGUAUUCUUUCUGGGAAAGGGAAAAACGAGUUGUUGAAGCAGCUCCACACCAGAAAAAGGUGAAGGGAAUAGAGACGGAGCCCUUGCAGAAAGAGUGAACCCAUCUUUGAACUCUAUUCAGCUCACGUUUUGACCCAAAAUCUAUUCAAUAUCACUGAAGACAACGUGGGAAAUCUCUGUAUGUCACUCGAAACUGAACAGUAGAAGAAUUUGUGGGACGAUAUUGAGGAAGUAGAAAGGCUUGAAUGUAUUAAAAUUCUCAGAGGUGUACUAUGCACCAGGGCCUGUCUUGAGGGGAUAGUUUCUUGGCUAGUUUCAUGCUGGUAUUGGGAAAAGUAUUGGGGUGCUGCUCAUGACUUGAGUGAGGGAGAGAGAUCUACAAAGAGGGAAGUUGCUGGUUUUGACGACAUUAGAGGAGGAUUCAGGGCAUUUAAAACAGAGGAGGUUUCUGGAAAGAACAAGGAGGGCAUUGUGAGGGAUUCUGGCAGAGAGCGAGAGGGGAGGAUUCUGUUAGCUAGGGGACAGUUUCUUUGCCUGAGGGCAAGUUGUAGGGAAAAGGGGGAGAGGAAGAAAAGGAAAACGGGUGGCAGCUGAGAGGAUUUGUGAGGAGAAUAGGAUGCACAGUUGAAUGACAUGCAGCCAUGGAACUCCGUGCCUUUGAUUUUGGUGUGCCUUAAUGGAGGAAUUAUUUUUUUAAUGAGAGAACUCACAUGUGGCAGUUCAAUGGCUGAAAUUCUUCAAAAAAAAAAAAAAAAGUCAAUGAGUUAAAGUGGUUAUACAUGGAGAAAUUAAUGGUUGAAAUUCAAACGGGUGUACGUGGUGGGUUUUUGGAAAUUCAAUGAUGAAUAUUCAAGGCAUUUGAUAGUGCACAUCAACUAGCGAGUCGGCAAUCCGGAUGCACAGUUUUUGGUUUGUUUUUAUUAAUUUCACUUGCUUUUCAUAUUUUAAUUUUUCUUUUAAUAGAAAAUUGUUCGAGUGACUUUGGUUUGCUUUUAAAGAUCGAUUUUAAAUUCUACUUUAAUGUUUAAUUCUUUAACUUCUUUUAAUUCAUCCUUAGCAUUCCUAAUUUACUAAAAUCCAAUCUUAAUAAUCAUCCUUAGCAUUCCUAAUUUACUAAAAUCCAAUCUUAAUAAAUCAUUUGUUAUCGUAUUUCUUUUCCACUUAUGCAUGAAUUGCAUGGCCACCUUUUAGGCCACGUGUCACCUACUGUUUCAACAUCUUCGACUAAAACCCUCUUUUGUAAAUAAUUUUUAAAUUCUGUUUUUUUUUUUAAAUAAUCCUAAAAUCUAGGUUUUUUUUUUAAAAAAUUUCAAAUAACUUCAAUUUUUUUUUGAAUUUCAUCAUUAGAGUUUUUAGGUCCCGAAAAUCCGUUUUCCAAUAAAAUUCGUUGCCAUUUUUCUUCGGCAUACAUUUUUCGUUACUUCCAUGCUUUUAAAAUAUUUUAAAACAAGCAUAGAUUCAAUUCCGUAAUUCCGAAUAACAGGGUUUAUGGAAUUAAUUCAUGCAAAAUAAACGGGCUUUGGUGGGGGCCCCACAUAUGUGAUUUAUGAUCGAUUAACUGAUUGAUUGAUUUAAUUGUCAUGCAUGAUUGAUUUAUUCUGCUCUAUGACAUGCUCGAAAUUAUUUCUUAACUAUGCACUAACCCUCCUCUUGAUAGCGCAUAUUGGUUCGCCACCCAGGUAUGUAUUUUCCUGCAUCAUGGUCACUCCUUAUGCUUGUUUCUAAUUCUCAUAUGUGCAUGAUCGAUUUGGGUCUUCAUUGAUUUUCUCAUUGGUUGCCAUGUCAACUUCAUUUUAUUAGUAGAGACCCGACUUUAGGGACUUAGAGGAGUGCUACGGUCUUUACCGUACCUUCCCGAUAAGUAACCUGACCCCCGAACCCGAUUCGGUUUUUUGUAGAUCACCUUUUCCAAAUAAGGAGUCACACUUAGGGUUUUUCUUUCUUAUUUUGUUUACCCUUUUGAAAAUAAAACAAAAAUAAGUGGCGACUCCAAGUCAUUUUCUUAAUCAAUAAAAAUCAAUUUUUCAAAAUAAAAAUCGAGCUCGCCAUUCGAGUGGGAAACGCAUUGAGUCGAAAUGCGGGGUCCACAACACUUGAAGCGUGGUAAACCCUGAAAAGGCAAACAAAUUCCUUUAAAAGAAAAACACAAGGAAAGAUAUAUGAAAUGUGACACUCUUGAAGAAGUCGCAUAUAAAAUGAGUUAUUAAAAUGAUUGAUCAAUCUCAAGCAGCCCCUAAAGAGGCACAGUUUAAACAAGUAGCCUUAUGAUAGGUAUAUGUUUAAUAAUUAGUUCCUGAAAAUGUACAAGUACCUGAUAUUGAUGAGAUCUCAAUUAUUUACUUAUAUAUGAAAAAAAAAUGGGAUUGAAAUACUCUUGUCAUUAACAAUAUAUUUUCUUUCCAAAUAGCUGUUGACAUCAUAAGAAUUGAUGAGGAUCCCAAAGUAGAAACUAUGAAUGAAUGUCAACAUAGAAAAGAUUGGCCAAAAUGGAAAGAAUACAUCCCAAAAAAAUUAUACUCAUUAGAAAAAUGAGAAGUAUUUGAACCUGUAGUCCAAACGCCUGAAGUUGUCAAACUUAUUGAAUAUAAAUGAGUAUUUAUAAGAAAGUGUAAUGAGAAAAAUGAAAUCACGAUAUAUAAAAUGUGACUCAUAGCUCAAGGUUUUCCGCAGAAACCUAGUAUUAACUAUGAGGAAACAUAUUCUCCUAUGAUGGACGCAACCAUAUUUAGAUAUCUAAUUUGUUUAACAGUCUUAGAAUGACUAGAUUUGCGUUUCAUGAAUGUCAUUAUUGCAUAUUUACGUGAAUCUUUAGAUAAUCACACACACACACACACACACACACACACACACACACACACAUACAUAUAUAUAUAUAUAUAUAUAUAUAUAUAUAUACGAAAAUCCUUGAAGGAUUUCAAAUACUUGAAGCAACUAAUUCAAAAUAUUGUAGCAUAUACUCAAUUAAGUUACAAAGAUCCUUGUAUCAAUUAAGCAAUCUAAAAACAUGUGAUACGAUCACUUCAAUGAAUAUUUGAAGCGAGAAGUAUGUAUGUAUUACCUUAUUUAUUUAUACAUAUUCAUUAUAUUGAAUUUUUGCAAUUAUUAUAGUAUAUGUGGAACAUUGAAUUUUUUUGGAACUCCUGAAGAGCUUACAAAAAUAGUUGACUAUUUAAAAAUUAAAUUUUGAAAUGAAAGAUCCUGGAAAACAAUUUUUUUUUCCUCGACCUGCAGAUCGAGUAUUUUUCAAACGAAAUAUUAGUUUAUUAGUCAACAUAUACAAAGAAAUUCUUGAAGCACUUUCAUAUGGAUAAAUCACAUCCAUUAAGUUCUCUGAUGAUAGUUCAUUCACUUGAAGUGAAAAAUGACCCUUUUUGUCCUAAAGAAGAUAAUAAAAAACUAUUUGGUCCAAAAAUACCAUAUUACAGUGUUAUUGGUGCAUCGAUGAAUCUUGCAAAUUAUACAUGACCAGAUAUUGCAUUCCUUGUUAAUUUACUUGUGAGAUAUAGUUCUACACCAAUUCAAAGACAUUGGAAUAAAAACAAGCAUGUACUACAAUAACAUGGGUCUAUGUUAUUCCAAAUGAUCAGAAUCUUAAGUGCUUGAAUAUGUAGAUGUUGACUAUCUUUCACACCCCCACAAAGCUCGAUCUUAAAUGAGGUAUGUAUUUAUCUAUGGUGGUACGACAAUAUCAUGGAGAUCAAUCAUGCAAAUAAUGGAAACAUGUGGACUACCCUCCAUCAAAGGUAAUGCUACCAAGUUAAUAAUGCUGCAUGUAUUGCACAAAUUAAAGAAUGAUACAUUAAGGGUGAUAGAAUUAAGCACAUAUCGUCCAAGUCUUUUACUUUCAUUAACUCAAGAAUAGUGAUGAAAUUGCUAUUCGACGAAUAAAAUCAAGUGGCAAUUUAGUAUAUCUAUUCACAAAGGCAUUGUCAAUUACAAUACUCAAGAAGCUCAUUGGAAUACGCCGACUCAAAGAUCUCCAUGUUGUACUACUAGAGAAAAUAUAAUCAUGUCAACAUGAGGGGGAGCUAAUUGAUAAAAAUAUCACUACGCUACACUCUUUUUUCCUUCAUCCAAGUUUUGUCUCAUUGGGUUUUACUGGCAAGGUUUUUAAUAAGACAAUUGUGGUAAUCCAAAAAAAUAUUGUACUCUUUUUCUUUCACUAGGGUUUUUCCUAGUAAGGUUUUAAUGAGACAUAUUCUUAUGAUCAUACAAGGAGGAGUAUUAUAAAAUAUGAGAUUUUGUAUCACUAUGGUAACUUGUGGAUGAUCAUUCAUAUUAAUAUACAUCUCUUUGUAACUCCCUAUAAAAGGGAGAUACCUCUAAUGAAAAUUAAUCUGGUUCUCUUCCAACAUUUUGUUAUACUUUUCUUUGAAUAUCUUUGUUUAUUCUCUCAUAUUUUCUUUUUCUUCUUCUUUUUAUUUCACAACUGUGGACCCGCAUUUUUCACGUGCGCCCCCACUUGAUCGACGAGACUCGCUUUUUAUUGUGAAAAAUUAAUUUUAAAAAAAAGUUGGAGUCGCCACUUAUUUUAUUUUUUAUUUUUGAAGGGAAAAUAAAACAAGAAAUAAAACCCUAAAAAAAAUGACUCCAUAAUUUUUGGAAAAGCGUGUCUUUGAAAACCCAAGUCUUGGUCCGGGGAUCAGGUUACUUAUUGGGAAGGUACCUCUAGGAGGUAGCACCCCUCUAAGCCCUAAAGAGGUCUCUACUAACUAAGUUAAGGGAAGCGUGGCAAUUAAAUGGUUGACCUCGGGUACCUAAGUAGGCUAGGUGAUUCCAAAAAAAACAUAACAUAUCAAACAAAAUCAAAUCACAAUUAAGGAGAGUUAAAAAUGCGUACCUGGACAGCCUCCCAAGCGCUAUCAUAAAACAUAAGAGAUUAGUUUGGAGAUACAUCACACAACAUUGUUUUAUCAAAGAUAAUCAAACAAUCAUCAAAUGUAUAUCAAGGCAAUUAAAGAGGAUAGCAAGCAUGGGCAUACAUAUUCAUAGGGUUUAGAAAGUGGGUAUUAGGGAACGUACCUGGAUAGCAUAUUUAAUUCCUAAUGCGCUUCCACAAAACAUGAGAGGUUAGAUAACAAACAAUAAAAUAAGAAGUCCUAGCAUGCUCGUUAUCUAAUUAUCAUAGCAUAAAUUGUCAAAAUAUAUGAAAACAAUAAUUAUCACACUCAUCUUGUAUACAAUUUCUAAAAAAAAGAUAGAUAUAAUUUCAAAAAGUGACAAAAAUGGCAACAAAAAUAAUUUUUGAAAAGAUUUUCUUAUGUAGGGGUUUCACCAAUUCCCCAAAUUAAUAUACACAAAUUUAGCCCAGAAUUAUCCCAUUAUUUGGGACCACAAGCUUUGAUUCGUGUUUUUGUUCAAAACCAAACUUUUUGUUAGAAACUGAGAAGGAUGCAAACCGAACAAAAAAAUGGUUGCAUAUUAUUUUAAGAAAAUGAGAUUUUUUUUAUUCCAAGGACUCUAAAUGAAUUUUUUUUUUAAAAUAGGUUUUUAAAGGGAUCUUUUAAGGAAAGUGUUGGAUUUCAAAAUAAAAAGAAAUUAAUUUGAAAAUGACAAGACAUAAGGAACAAAAUACCAAGCAAAACAAAAGUGAUUAAAAUCGCAAAGUAGAGUUUUUGACAACUGAGAAAAUUGAAGUGGUGAGAAUGGAGGUCAAUCUUCCCUAUUUUCCGAUGGCCUCCGAAAAGUAAAUUUUACUAGAGAUUACCAAAGCAAUAAACUACUCAAACUCAGGUCAAAUAAGCUAACGAGAUACCCACCAAGAAUUAAUGACGAAUAUUUAAGAAACACAUCCAUUAAGAAUAAAAAUCAAGAAUUAGCAUGAGAUCAAUUAACCACACAAACACAUCUAGAUUUAUUAAAAUGAGACAAAUUAAAUCAAAGCAAACAAUAAUUUUCAAACAUAGAAUUAACUUUAUUAAUGAAGUAAUUUUAUAUAAAAUACUUAAAUCGAAUAGAUGAGUGAAACUAAAUCAGGGUAAACUAAAGGCAUGAAUUUUCAAAUAUAGAAUUGAUUUUAUUAAUGACCUAAAAUUUUACAAACUCCUAAAAUACUUAAAAUGAAUCAAUUUAAACAAAAGGAAACUAAAACAAAAUAUGGAUUUAGGGAAUCUAAUUUCAAAAUAAACUUACAUUAUUAAAAUGAAACCUAGGCUUAAAAUGAAUUAAACACUAAUUAAAGUCAAUCUAAACUUAAAUUCUUAACAUACAUGAUCAAUUAUUUUAACAAAUUAAAAUUUUACAAGAGCACCUAAACCUAAAGUUAUAUAAAAACACUAACAAGAACAGAUUUUUAAAAUUAAAUCUCUAACCUAUAAAAAUUAGUUUUAUUAAUAAAUAAAUGAAAUAGGUAAUGCAUGACUAAAUAAGUAUAGCUAAAACAAAAUACGGACUCAUGGAAUUAAUUUUUUUUUUUUUUUUGUGUAUAAACUUACAUUACUGGAAUAAAAUUUGAGCUUAACAAAUGUUUUUAACACUAAUUAAGGUAAGUUUAAAAUCUAAUAUUUAACAUAUAAAAAUCAAUCAUUUCAACAAACUAAAAUUUUACUUAAACCUAAAACCAAUUCAACCGACCUACAACAAUUUUUUUUUUUUUAAACUGAAUUUUUAGCCCAUAGGAUCAAUCUUAUUAAUAAAUAAAUAAAUUACAAAGAAUUAAAUUAAUAGCAAAUAAAUAAAUAAAUAAUCAAUAAUUAAAUGAAUCAAAACUAAAUUAAAUAAAGAUCAACUAUAUAUUUUUUUUCAAGUAAAGCUACAUAAAAUUGUAUUUUAUGAAUUGAAUAUAAUACAUCAAAACUAACCUUAAACAACACUAAUCUUUAAUGUAAUAAAUCAAAAAAUUAAACAAAAAGUGAGAUUGUGCUCCCAUAUUAAAACGAAUACAUGCUGGAGCCAAUAAAACAAAUCAACCCACUCAACCCAAUAUAAUAAUCCAACUUUAAAUAGUACAUCACAAGACAUCAAAGUUCCACCCAAUGUAAUAAAUAAAUAAAAAAUUAAACCAAAAGUGAGAUUUUGCUGCCAUAUGAAUACAUGUUGGAGCCAAUAAAACAAAUCAACCCACUCAACCCAAUAUAAUAAUCCAACUUUAAAAAGUACAUCACAAGACAUCAAAGUUCCACUAAAAACUCAUAAAAAAAUAACUAACUUACCUAGUUGGCUUACCAAAAAAAACCUGGUGGCAUGUAGUUGCUUUCUCUUCCCUAAUGAUGCUCGGGAACAAUGGUAUUGGUUGAUGGGAACUGAUGAGUUUUGGUUCUUCAGCCAAUACUCUUAUUUCAAAUCAACAAAGCUCGUCUCAAGGAACGGUAAGUAUAAAUUUAAGAACCCCGCAACUGGUUUUCAAUUAUUUUGAUAGCCAAUAAAAAAUGGAUAAUGUGUUCCAGAAGUUGGACGAACAUGAGGACGUAUGGCAGGAGAAUGGAGAAAAGCAAAUGUGCGGCCUGGUUGUGUAGUUGACGAUGAUGGGAAUUGGAGGAUUCUCUGUUUUUAAGGAUAUGUGGAUGGAUGGACUGCUGUCCAGAUGGUUCUCGAUUUUCAACCAAAGGAAGAUUCAGAAGACUCAUGCGACAGGAAAAUUCAGAUGACGCAAACACCAACUUCGGCCUGGCUACGUCAACUUCAGCAGCGGGGUUGACCAAAACGAUCUGGGUGUUCAGGAUCUAACCAUUGGUGAGUUCAAAUGUUGUCUCCCUUCUUUCCCUUCCAAAUCUUCCCGUUCCCUCUCCUCUAUACCUUCCCAAUCGCGGGGUGAAUAGCCGAUGAAUCACCAAACAGUUGCGUAUGUGGGUUUCCCCAAAACAACUUAUCUCUGCUCUAAAAAAAAAAACCUCCCUCUCUCGUGUGUCUUCCUUCCUUUUCUUUUCUUUUCCUUCUUCUUCCUCUUUUCUCAAUCUCUCCGACUCCUCUCUAGCCACCAGUGAUCGAAGGCACCGUAGCCAAGGUUUUCCUCUUUUCUGAUCAUUUUUUUUUCUCUUCUUGAAUGCAAAAAAAUAUUUUCUUUCUUUCCUGGUGCAGCUGCCACUUCCCUCUAGAGAAUCAUUUCCUUCUCAAUGGUCCCGUUGACUCUACCAAUAUGGAAAAAAUCCCUCACCGGUCUAGAGAAAACCCGUAAUCUUCCGCAUCAGUCCAACAUGAUUAGAACCCUACAUUUUGAACCUAGCCUUCAUUUCCAUCCCUAUACACACCGAACAUCUUCUUUUCACCUGCCAAAAUCAGCUUUGGUAAGUUUCUAAACCUUCCCAUCUCUCUCUUUCUUCCCUUUUUCAUAUCUGUCUUGGGUUGAAUGCUCUUUCAAAUCACGGUCGAAUCUCCCUUCCAUAGAACCCUGCAAUAAAAAUAGUAAAAACAAAAUCAUCCAAUUAAAUAGUAAUAAUAAUAAUAAUAAUAAUAAUAAUAAUAAUAAAUAAAUAAAUAAAUAAAUAAUAAUAAUAAUAAAGAUGAUUAAUCAUAUACAUGUACAAGAUAACCAAAAUAUUAUUUCAUGAUAAAGAAACAUAACGUUAGUAUCUUAUAAUCUCCUAAAAAUAAAUAAAUACAAGAACAAAUAAACUAAAACCCACUUAAAACAAAAAUCAAACAAAUAGAAUUCCAGAAGACAAACCUUAGUGUACUAAGCUUAAAGAACUACCCAAGGGAUUCUAAGUGGGCCUAAAGUGGUGCUUAAUGGACCUAGCCUUCCUAAGUGGGCCUAAGUGGGCUUAGAGUGGGCCUAAGUGUAUCUAAGUGAACCUAGGAUGCCUAAGUGAGCUUAAAGUGGUGCCUAAUGGGUUAGGCAUGUCUAAUGGGCCUAAGGUGUACUAAGUGAACCUAAGGUGCCUAAAUGGGCCUAAGGUGACUAAGUGGGCCUGAAGUGUCUAAAUGGGCCUAAAGUAAUCUAAUGGGCCAAGUGUACCUAAAUGGGCCUAGGGUUACCUAAUGGGCCAAGUGUGGUGCCUAAGUGGGCCUAAAGUGCCUAAGUCUAAAUUAGAGCUGCCAAAGGUCACAAUAAGAUGUCAAAUCAUCCCCCAACCAAAGUCUCCAAGGUGGCUUAGAAAAGAUAGGCUACACGAAUAUUAACGGGCCACCAGGGAAUUGUUAUAAACGACAUGUGCGAGGAAGACAAAAUUGAGGGUCUACAACAACAUAUAUAUAUAUAUAUAUAUAUAUAUAUAUAUAUCAAACUAUAAUUAUAUAAUUUUUUUUAAAUGUAUAAAUCCAUUUUAUUUUUUUAUUAGCUUAAAAUUUUUAUUUUUAAAUAUAGAAAUGUAUUUUUGUUAAAAAAUUAUAUUUCAUAUUUUUGUUCCAUUAUUACUUUUAUUCUUUCUUUUUUGUUUGAUUUUUGCAUGUUAUGUUGUCCAUUUUUCGUUUUUAUUUUUUUCAUUUUUUUAUUUGGAAAAAAAUAAAUAAAAUAUAAUUAAUAGUGACAAAUGAAAAGAGAAAAAAGAAGAAAUGUUGAAAAAUAAAAAUAAAAUUGGUCAUUUUCGUGCAUUUUAUUUUAUUUGUGUGUUUCGAUUAUUCUCCUUUUUAAACAAUUGCAUAAAAGAAAAAAAAAUGAAAAUGAUUGUAGGUGAUUUUCAAAAUAGAGGUGAUUUUCUUGAGGAAAGAAUUCGAAAGUUGAUGUAUAAUGUUGAAGAAGAGCCUUCGUUGUAGGUGGGACGAGAGAGGAAACAACUUUGAAUUUUGAAACUUUACCAUCUAAAAUCAAAACAAAAUCAAUUGCAAUUUACGCAAUUUUGUAGGAAAUUAUUAUUAUUAUUAUAAUGGUAUAACAAGUUUAAUAUAAAAAAAAUAAAAAAUUUGUAGUAUAAAAAUAUUAUAAUAAAAUAAAUAAAUUUAUUUUCAAAAAUAUGAAAAUUAAUAUAAAAAUAUUAGGGAAAAAUUAUGUGUACACAUAAAAAAAUAAAAUAUAAAAUUGAUGGAUUAAAUUAUUAUUGAAAUUAUAAUCCGACUUAAAGUCAAAUUAGAAGAAUUUUAUGAAAUGUCAUAUCAAAACUAAAAUACUAAAAAAUGUGUAGAAUCAAAAGAAAAUUAUACUUUUGUUUGUGAAAUUAUGACUAUAAAGAAUAACUCAAUUCAUUUUCAACUCCAGUAAAAAUUUUGAUAAGUUGUGUAUAUGCAUGUCUUGUUUAAAUCUCAAUAUCUAUAAAAUCUAGUGAAUAAUAGUGUGGACCCCGUAUUUCGCACGAUGUGUUUCCACUCGAUGGCGUGACUCACUUUUUGUUUAUUUGUGAAAAAUUAUGAUUUUUAGAAAAGACUUGGAGUCACCACUUAUUUUUGUUUUAGUUUUUUAAGGGAAAACAAAGUAAGAAAAAAAAACCCUAAGUGUGACUUCUCAUUUGGAAAAAAUGGUCUAUGAAAAACCAAAUCUAGGUUCGAGGGGUUAUGUUACUUAUUGGGAAGGUAGGGUAAAGACCGUAGCACCCCUUUAAGUCCCUAAAAAUGAGUCUCUACUAAAUAAGGUGAGUCAAACAUGACAAUUAACUAGGAGAUCAAUGAAUACCAAAAUGAUUAUAGGUCAAAAGCAAGUUAUGAUAAUGAAUAAAUAAAAAAAGUGAGAGUGAGAGCGUACCUUGGCAGUAGGUAAUAAAGCGCUAUCAUGGAAACAAGGUUAGCUCAAGUAUAAAAUUAUUACGCGCAUAUCAAAAAUCAAGACAAAAAUCAAGCAAUAUUCGUUAAGCAUAACAUUUGACAAUCAGAAGAGAAAACUCAUAUGUGGGGUCCUCACCAAAGCCCAAUUUAUCUUGCACGAAUUAGUAUCACAAAUUCCAUUAUUUUGGAAUUAUAAAAAAUUCAUUCUUGCUUAUUUAAAAUAAAGAUAAACAAAAAAUUAUUUGAAAAUCGAAGAAAAUUUGUACAAGUGCAUACCAAAAUGAGAAUGGUAGCAGACUCAUUAAAAUCAGGAUUUUUGGCAACCUAAAACCCUAAUAAAUGAUUAAAAGUUGUAGAUAAAAAAUAUUUGAAAAUUGGAGUGGGAUUAAAACUGUUUGAGAGAAAACUAGAGUUUUGAAAUUUAUUUGAAAAUUGAAGUCUCGAAAAUUAUUUGAGAAUUGGAGUUUUGAAAAUUAAAUUUAAGAAUUGGAAUUUUAGAAAUUAAAUUUGAAAGAAAUUGGAAUUUUGAAAAUUAUUUGAGACUUGGAGUUUUGAAAAUUAAAUUUAAGAAUUGGAAUUUUGGAAAUUAAAUUUUGAAAUAAAUUGGAAUUUUGAAAAUUAUUUGAGAAUUGGAGUUUUGAAAAUUAAAUUUAGGAAUUGGAGUUUUGAAAAUUAAUUGAGAAUUGGAGUUUUGAAAAUUAGUUUUAAGAAUUGGAAUUUUGGGAAUUAAAUUUGAAAGAAAUUGGAAUUUUGAAAAUUAAAUUUAAGAAUUUGAAUUAAAUUUGAAAGAAAUUGAAAUUUUGAAAAUUAUUUGAGAAUUGAAGUUUUUAAAAUUAAAUUUAGGAAUUGGAGUUUUGGAAAUUAAAUUUAAAAGAAAUUGGAAUUUUGAAAAUUGAUUGAGAAUUGGAGUUUUGAAAAUUAGUUUUAAGAAUUGGAAUUUUGAAAAUUAAAUUUGAAAGAAAUUAAAAUUUUGAAAAUGGAAGUUUUAAAAAUUAAAUUUGAGAAUUGGAAUUUCAAAAAAUUAUUUGAAAAUAGAAAUUUGAAAAUUACAUUUAAUAAUUGGAAUUUUGAAAAAUUAUUUGAAAACAAAAGUUUUGAAAAUCGGAAUUUCGAAAAAUUAUUUGAGAAUGGAAUUCUUAAAAGAUCAAAUUUUUAACAUAAAAUGAUGGAUUAGGAGGGUGACACGUCAAACAUUGGAUAGCAGCCCUCUAGAGUGGAAUCCCAAGGUUCUCCUAAAAAAAUACCUCAAUGUCUAAAUGGCUAUAAGCAUCUGUCCAAAAAAAAAAAAAAAACAAUAGUAGAUUUUCCAUUUGUUCCGGUCACUACUAAUAUCUUAAUACUUCUUGGAAGAAUUUCCGUAGCAAAAUCCAACUUAGACAAUAUUCUUUUCACUGAUUGCAACAAGAAGGAAAGUCCAUGACUUUCCAAGGGAACUCCUAGUGAAACAACUACCAUUUCGGCAUCCUUGAGAAGCUUUGUGUCAAAGUGUCCAAGAACGGUUUUCAAAUGACCAUGCUUUUCAAACAGGAGAUCGAGCUCAAGCGAGAGCAAGCUUUGUUGCAGCUCUACCAGAUUUUCCCAACAAGAAAACAGGAAACUCUCAACCAAACCCAAAUUCACGAAAGAGAAUCAAACCAUAUGGGAAACAUCUGGAUCGGCGCGGUAGCUACAGUUUUGUAACAAAUCUCACUUGGGGUCUAGAGAUUCAUGUUACCUCAAGCUUUUUCUUGUCAGCCUCAUCAUCCCAUGGUUUCACAUCCCAGUGUACAGUCCCAUACCCAAGAAUGCAUAAACACCAGGAACAGGGAGAAAACAACAAAAACAUAGCACAAAUGAAGAAAAUAAUAUGAACCAUCAAAAGCCACACUUCAUGUCUUAGUCAGUGGAUGAAAAGGAUUUCUAAAUAUCACAAAAGAGAUAAAAAUUAGUUGGACCAAUUUUUGAACACAAAUUGGAGCAACAAAGAAGCCGUUAACUAUGAAAAAAAAAAUUCAUGAAUCACCCAAAGAUCAACAACAACAUAUCUCAAUAAUAGUGGAUGAAAGAAAAAAUUUUCACAAUGGAGAACUUACUUCAGGGAAGACGUUGGAGGUCUUUCUUCUAUAGAGCCCAAUAACCCGUGAGCUUCUUCUCUACUUCUCUCAACUCACCAUUUCACUCAUAGAAAAACGAUUCAUUAUGACCCCCCUCAAAUCUCAGCUUAUCUUUUUUCUUUUUGUUCCUUUUAAAAUCCCUCAGCUGCCACAAAAACCCAGCACCCACUUUCCAGAUUUUUCUCCCAGAAAAUCCUCUUCAGCUGCUGCCCCUUUUUCUCUCUCCUCUCAUCAUAGUUUUCUUCAUUUUUUCCUCCGAUCCCCUUAUCUUUUUAGUUUUCUACCCCCCCUCCCCAGUUCACCCUCCAAACCUGCAGCUACCCCUCAGACUACUCCCAUAUUUUUUUCUUUCAAGCUCUCAAAACCCUCACAACGCACCCGACUCUCCUUCAAUCCCCUUGCUCAGUUUUUCAUUUUUUUCAAGCUGUCACCUCCUUCGGUCCAGCUCUCCCUCUCCAAGCUUCAAUUUUUCUCCCAAAAAAAACCCGUUCUCUCCUAAUUUCAUCCUCUGCUCAAGACAGCUCACCCAUGUUCUAUUUUUCUUUCACUUCUAGUCUCAUCCUCCAUCUGUUCCAUUGUUCUUGGUUCAGUGAAGACGUCACCACUCUCAACCACCACCAUGGCGAGUUGGUGACAUCCUUUUCCAUGCGUCUCAAUCAUGCAGCUUGUCCACCUCAUGGAGAGGUCAUCCCCCACUUUUCCAAAAAAAAAAAUCUAGCUCACUCCCGAGUACCCAAUGAGGGGUCUACAAAUAGUUACAUCAAAAUGAUCAAUUCAAAAGAAUUUAAGUCUGUAUUAAAAGAGCAAAAAGAUUUAUCGUUGAAAGAAAUAUUUGAAAACACUCUGUUGCCAGUUCGAAUUACUAGCUCCAUAGGAUUGCAACCCACCAACUAUGUUAUCUGAGAUGCUUGCCAAUCUACAUGAUCACUUCCCAUUGGCAUCUUUCAUAAGGCCAUCAAGAGUGGAUAUUUUGUAAUAUACACGUGGAUACAUUUUGGGAUGUAGUUUGAUAUUUUAUAUUAUUUUGUAUUUUUGGUGUAUUGACAUUUUCAUAUUAAUGUUGGGAGGUUGGAUUAACACUUAAAAUUUUUAAAUACAUUUUUACCUAUGUUAUUCAUCAUGGAUGAAAUAAGUAUUUUUGAAAUUUUAAUUUUUAAGAUUUUACUUUAUUCCACUAAUUUAUUUUUAUCAUUUUAAUCAAUUCUAUCUUCAUAAAAAAAAAUUAUAAAUAAGCUUUAUAAGAAUUCAUUUUUAUUAUCAAAUAAUUAUUUUGUUUUCUUAACAAAAUAAAUAUUUUAUAAUUUUGAAAUAAAAUAAUAAAUACUAUGUAACAUUAUCAAACGAGUUUUUUUUUAAAUUUUUAAAAAAUAAUUAUUGAUUUUAUCAAAUAAAUAAAAUAGUAUUUUAAUCUAUGGACCCCUUACUAUUUUUCUUUCCUUUUCAUGUAUCACAUGUUUAAUUAUUUUUUAUUAAAAAUUAGUUUUUGAUAGGCAUUGCUACUAUAAUACCACUUUCUUUUCAUUAAGGAGAGGCACAAGAACCCAUUACGAUUAGACAAUGGGUCAAAUCAUGAAGUCACAUCUCACUAGUAGAUUAAAAAAAAAAACUUUUAUAACUUUGUUGUUAUCUUUUCAUUUUAAGGGUAAAAUAGGAAAAAACAAUUACGAUGCACUCUAAAAUUGCUUUUAAAUUUAUUCCAAAAUUACCCUAAAAAAUUUGCCAUGAAUGUGAGAAAAGUGGUGAUGUGAUAGAAGGAAAAAGUGAUGAAAUGAAGAGGCAUGAGGUGUUGAUUGGAGGGUGGCACUGUGGAUGACGGUCCUAUGGUGCCACACCGAGGUGAAAGUGUGGGCUAGUAGUGAUAGUGGAGAGAAAUGGAUGCAAAAAAUGGGUAUGGUGGGCAGAUGAAGAGAAAGAGAAAGAGAAAGAAAGUGUUGUGAUUUGCAACGGUUGGUGGUAUUGGAGAAAGGCAACAUUUGGUGUUACAGAAGAGAGACAACAUUGUGUCACAGGAUGCACAAAUGACCCUCCCCAUGGGCUUAUUUUGGAGGUGGGAAGCUUAUGGAAACUCCUGAAGCCAUCUACACUAAGCCAUUGGUGGGAAGAGUGUGGAAGCUUCUAAAAAAGCCUAGGGAUGUUCGCACAUCUUUACAUUAUGGUGGAAGGCAUGAGAAAAUUCCAAGACUUUCUAGAGAGUUCUAGAGGUCUCUUGUAUAUUCUUGUACGUAAGCUUGUACAUAGAAUUAUAUAGGGUGUUCUAGAAUAUUCAUGAGUUGUAAGGAACCCUCCAAGGUUCUAGAGAGUCCAUUGGUGUUUAUAAAUGAGGGUCUUAUUUGGUCAGGGCACCAAGCAAGUGAGUUUCCAAGCAUUGUAUAAACUUUCUUUGAAAUCAGUAAAACUUCCGUUCUUUAAGUGUUGCCUACUACGCCCUCUAAAGCUUUUAAGUUGGGUGCAUCUUUGCAAAGCAAACUAAGUAUCAGGACUAAUGUUGACUUAGCAAGAUCAAGGGUCUUGACUUGUCUAAGUGUCGCACAAGCUUAGGAAAAGACUAAGUUUGUGACAGUUGGCACUAGGUUGUGGAUAAGUGGUGGUGGUGAUGUGGAGAAAGUGAAGGAAACAUAGAAGAAGAAAGAAAAAGAAAUAUGGGAAAGGAAAAGGGAGAGAAAAAAAUACUACUAGGUAAGGGAAACUAUGAGCGGUGGCCAACGACGACACUAAUAGAUAAUGUUAUCAAUGGUGCCGAUAGAUUCGGUGGAAGCGGUAGAUUCAGUGGGAAGUGAGAGGCGACAGUGAAUUGAACUUUGGUGGCAAAUCAUACACGACUACCCUCCUCCCAUCGCAAUCACCAUCAUUCUCAUUUUUCGCUUAGGAUCAAUGUGCCCUCUCUAAGCAACAUUGACAACCCCCCUCCCUCCCCUAUCUUUUUCAUUUCUAAUGUUGUUUUCUACAAUUGGAACUAGGUUUUCAAAAACAUCGACUAUCUCUGGAGGAGUAGUACUAGUACUGUGAAUGAUUGAAAUUGUGAUUUCAAAAUUAGGUUGGGUUCCAACAUAGAGGUAAUAGAGGUUGUUAAGCCUUCAGGAAGACGUGCACAAGUGAACAAUGUUCCUAGAGAUUAUAGUGGUGGAAGAAUACCAUAAAAAGAUAAGAAAAGAAAAGGGAAAAGGACUCUUUCUCAUGCCACCUACCCAUUCUCAGUGUUGACACAUUUUUCUAGCUGGCACCAUUCCCUCCAAUCGUCACCUACCCAUCAUCACCACCAUCCCUUACUUUCAUGGUAAUUUUUUUAAGAUAAUCUUGGAACAAAUUCAAAAACAUUGUUAGAGCGCAUGAAUUAAGAAUUUUUUUUUUCUCAACUUUAUACUUAAAAUGAAAAGAUAAAAGCAAAAUUCCAAAAACCUUAUAGCUUGUUUAACCAUAUAACUUAAAAACGGUUAUCUAAUUUUAAAAAUAGAAAACUGUUUUUUAACACUUUCAAUUGUGGUUGGUCAUUAUUCUAAAAAAAAAUAAUAAUAAUUUAAAACUAGAUUGAAAAAAAAAUCAGGAAACAAUCUCAUUGAUUUAAAUUAUUAUUUAAUUACUUGCACAAUCGUAUGAUUAUUAUUAUGUUUUUGUUAUAUUAUAUUAACAAGUGAAUACUAUGUUGUUGAUUCUAGAUAUCCUUGUAUUAUGGGUUUUCUUCCUCCAUAUUGAGGUGAAAGGUAUUAUUUGUAAUAUUAUCUUAGCAAAAGUUGUCAACCAAAGACUGAUAAAGAAUUGUUCAAUUAUUGACCUUCCUCAUUUAUAAAUAUAAUUGAGUAUUAUUUGUGUUUUAAAAGCACGUUUUUCAAUUUUAAAAAUGAUGUCAUCUUACAAACCAAGUAGACAACUAUAAAUAGUUGUAGCUUGUUGUACUCUUUAUAAUUUCAUUCGUAAAUAGACUUAAAAUGAUGUUAUAUUUAGACAAUGGGAAGAAGAACUUGAAUUUGAAGAUAAGGACGAUACUACAAUUGAAGUAAGUUAUGCAAUGAAUUUAUUAGAUGAAGCAGCAACGAUUAUGACAACUUAUCAAGAUCGUAUUUCAUAGUAGAAAUGGAAUGCUUAUGUUAAUAGUUUGUAAACAUUAGUCAUUAAAUAGUUAUAUUAAUAUACGAAGCAAGAAUGUGAAAUAUGAAAAUUGUUUAACUAUUAUAAUUGACUUGAAGUGUUUGUGUGUACUUGGUUUGCAAUUAUUUUUGUUAGGUGCUUUCAAUUUAAAUUUUUUUUUUGUUUUUCCCAUUAAAAAAAUCAAUCCAACUAUUUAUUUUACUCUCUUUAAAAAAAUGAAUAUUAAAAUUAUUUUUAAUCUUAUAGUAAUUUUUGUUUCAUUUGAAUAAAAAAAUUGUUUAAUAAUUAAAACAAUUAUUUAUCUAUAAUUUAUAUAAUUUGAAUUUUAUUUAUUUAUUUUUAGUGAGAUUUAACUUGAAUGUGAUUUAUAUUAAUGUAAAUUAAAUUUUAAAAAUAAAAAUACAAAAAUUGUUUUUAAAAACAAAGACGAUUCUUUUAUACAAACAAGUUUUUGUUUUUUAAAAACUAUUUUUGAAAGUAAUUGGCCAAACAAUUUUUCUUUGUAAAAAAUACAAAAAAAACCAUUUUUUAUUCUUUAUCUUAAAAAUAAUUUUUAAAAUUAAAAAACACGAUCAAACACCUUAUUUUGUUUUUAUUUUUGGUGUAUGAUUGCAUAAUUUUUUCAUUUUUUAAAAUUGAAUUUCAAGCAAGCUCAUAAUUAUAUAAUUAAAAAACUUGUUUGAUAGUAAUUUUAAGAAGCAAUUCUAAUAUUUUUAACACUUAAAAAAUGAAAAAAGAAUUAUUUUUCAAGUAUACAACGAAGAAAUACUUGUUAGGAUCACUGCUACACAUUCUCUAUGUAGACAUAUCCCACUUCUAACUCUUCAACUUCUGAACUCUUUUGAUGAAAUCCACACUCAAACCACUCACAAGCUCCAAAUUCAAGUCCCAAAUGCAGCCACUGCUUCAACCAGGUUUUGGAGUCAAAAUAAGAGACGUAGUGAUGAAUUCCAGAUAGUCCAUAUCUUAAAGUGAGAAAAUAUCCAAAAAAGAAUUUGUUGUGUUGAGAGGGAUUGCUUGAGAAAUUCAGGAUUAGGGAAUUAUUUUAUCUCAGUGUGGUUUAGAAUUCCAGUUUGGCAAAUUCAGGAUUCAGGACUGGCUUUGGGUUCAAAAUGAUUUGGGGUUUCUACUCAGAAACAUCCAAAAAUUGAACUAUUUGACAAAUUUGGGGUGUGGGAGCUGUUCCUUUGUUUGUGGGAUAUUUGUGCAUGAUUAUGGAACUGCUGAACUGUGUUACAUAAAUUCAAAUUUUAUUUGCUUGAUGGGGAAUUGGUCUGGGAAAAGAUAGCUGAAGAAUAAAGGGAUUGAUGUCAUGGGAUAAGGUUUUGUUGGGUGGACUUGUUUUCCAUGUUUUUUCUCCUCUAAAGGUUAGGGGUGAAAAAUUGUAUUAAAUUCAUUUUUUUGUGCAGAUUUUAUGAUUUUAAUGUUGUUGUUUUCCCUUUUGAAUAAGGAAUAUAAAAACAUUUAUGGAAUUUGAUUUCUUCCAAAAUUAGAUGAGUUAUGAAACCAAAAUAGUGGUUGCAUGUGGUUGAAUCUCGGUUUUUAUUUUAUAAUUUGUCAUCCAAAUCAAGCAAUUCUUAUAUUUUUAGUUUUGAAAAUGAAUUCCAAAAGCAUGGGCUAAUUUAUACCUUAUGUAUAUGAGUUUCACUUUGUAUAUACUUUUUGUUUUUAAAAACAAAAAGUAGGAAGUGUAUCCAAACACUUAUUUUUACUUAAGUUAUAAAGUAAGGAGGUGGAUUUAUUUUAUAAGUUGCUUUUGGUGUCAAAGAAAUUAUUCUUAACAUAAUUAUUAAAAAAAAAAAGAUAUCAAUUAUAUUUGAUUGGUAUUAUCAAUUAUGCUUUGCGGGACCAAGCAUGCCCCAUCUUCUUUGGGCCUCCCACUACUUUAAUCCUACACAGAUGACACAUUUUUAUUAAGAUCCAGAUCCUAUUAUCAUGGACUGGGCAAUGGAGGCUCAGAUCCGGCCGUAAUCAGACGAGCUGUUGGGACGCCAUGGCUGCAACUACCGGGUUGCCCCGCCAAGAAACGAGCCCUUCAUAAUCUCUGAUUUACUUGGAAAGUAUCAUCAUAGCCCCUCGAUUUUCUCAUUGGGAACCAAACAGAUCCAGGACCCUUUGAAGGACCCUAAAUACAUCCAACCAAACAAUAAUAAAUAAAUAAAUAAAUAAAGAUGGACAUCACGGGUCCAGGGAGGGCUCAGAUCCGCCCGUAAUCAGACAAGAUCCAUGUUCGCCAUGGCUGCAACUACAGUUGCAUGUGAAAAAACAGGGCAUAGAAACCCAUUUCACAGACAAUCCGGGUCGCCCAGCCAAGAGAUGGAUCCUUUCAAAUGUCUGAUUUACUUGGAAAGUGUCAUCACAGCCACUUAAUUUUCCUGCACAUUUUCUCAGCAACCAAACAGAUACAAGAUCCUUCUCAGAAAACACAUUUUAAAACACAAACAAAAAAACCAAAACAAAACAAAGAUCAGCCUCAGCGCGGAAGUGAAUAGCGCGUAAAAGGAAGGCUCAGAUUCGCCUUUUAUCAGACAAGAAAAAGAUGACCGUCAUGGCUGCAACCACAGUUGCUUGUGAAACAAGGCACAAAAGGUCCCAUCGCACAAACCAUCCGGGUUGCCCCGCCAAGAAACGGACAUUCCCAGUUCCUGACUUACUCUGAAAACGUCAUCACAGCCUUUUAUGUUGCCCAUAUGAACAGAGAGAUACCCCUAAAACAGAUCCAGAAAACACAGGGAGCCAAAAAAAAAAAGCAAUUUUUUUGGUUUUCCUUGGGGGUUUUGCGUGGAUUUUCUCGGAAAUCAAACGAGGAUGAAUUUUCCCGGAAAUCGAAUGGGGGAUGGAUUUUCUUGGGAAUCAAACGGGGGUUGCAAAAAAAUAAUAAUAAUAAUAACAUGAUUAGAUUAGUACCUGCGAGGAUUGAGAGUGGGAGAGGAAAAUAGGGCCUUUUUAGGGAUUCUCUCGUCUGGAGGGCAACUUCAGAAAAGGGCUUCUAGUUCUUGAUGCCCGAGUGGGAGAAGCGGAUGAUGGCCCUUUCGAUUUUUAUAUUUAGUGGAGAGAGAAAACAAGGGAAACAAAUCAUGAAAACAAUUUUCCUCUCUAUAUAAAUAAUUAUUAAUCAUCCAUCUUUAUUUUGAUUAAAUUACUACCAAAAUUUCGAUUUUUAUCAGUAAUAUUUUAUAAAUUAAAAUUCAUUUGAUAAAAUAAAUUAUUAAUAAAUUUAUUUAUUUAAAUAAAUUAAUAUUAAUAAAAAAAAGUUAUUACCAUGUAUUUUUAAUAAAAUCUUAAAAAUUAAAUAUCAAAUAAAAUAUUUUAUAUAAAUUAAUUUAAUUUUUCAUUUAAAAUAUAAUAAAACAUGUUUCAAUAAAAAUAUUUAAAAUUUUUUUAAAUAAAUAUUAUCUUCAAUAAGAUAAGUUUCUUUCAUUUAACAAUAUGAUGGACCCACAUCGAUCUUCAUUUUGAUACUAAAAACUAUUGCAAUCUCAUAUAUAUUAUACUUAUGUAUAAAUUGUUUUUAUUCAAUAAAAUCAAAUAUUUUUUAACUCAAUUCUAACUUUAUACACUUUCAAAAUUCAUAUUUAUUAUUCUUAAAAUUUAAAUAUCCAAUUUAUCAAUAUGUCUCUAUCUACCGAUGUUUUUCUUCUUGAUCAUAUUUAAGUCAAUUACACUUAUAAAACAACUUAAAAAUGUGUAUUCUUGUUUAUUUUAUCAUUUUUUGAAGUUUUUCCAAAUAUCCCUAUGACUUCUACAUAAUUUUCGUUCCACCGGCAUUUUCAUACUUACCCUGUAUCUAUAAAAAAUAAAUGAAAACAAUUUUAGGUUAGGAGUUAUAAGGACAACUAGUAUUCAUGCAGAAAAUCAGCAUCAGAAUUCGUAACUGCAUUUGAUCAGCUAGUUUAGGAAAUCUGUACAGCUCAUUCUUUCCUUUAUUUUCACAUAUGUUGUUAUACGUUAGCACAAGUUUAGGAGUAAUUUUAGUUUCUCAAAUCUGUAUUUAUACCUCUUCUUCUAAUAAGAAUUGUGUGAAUCAUUUUGUCUAAACCUCUAUAUGGUAUCAGAGCCCACCUCAAAACUCCAACGAGUAUUUCCUGUCUUUCUCACUUCUGCUAUGGCCACUUCUUCCUUUGAUAGUUUUCCAAUAGCCAUCAAUGCCACCCAGCAAAUUAUUGCACGUCUCACACCAACCAACUUCCCUUCAUGGCAUGCCCAAUUUGAGUCUCUCCUCCUCGGCUAUAACCUCUUUGGCUAUGUCGAUGGCACUCAUACCUGCCCACCCCUACCGACGUCAACUGAUGCAGCUGCCACUACCGCUCAUCACCUUUGGUUCCGUCAGGACAAACUUAUUCUAAGUGCAAUUCUGACUUCAGUGUCCCCAGCUGUGAUACCACUCAUAGCAACCUCCCAGACGUCAUAUCAAGCCUGGACUAAAUUGACAAAACUGUAUGCUAGUCGAUCCAGGACUCGUGUCAUGCAGCUCAAAGAGGAUCUCACCCUCAUGCAACGUGGCAAUCGCAACAUUACAGAGUACCUACACUCUGUAAAAACCAUUGCCGAUGAGCUUGCUCUCAUCGAUGCCCCAUUAUCUCAAGAUGACAUCACCCUAUAUGUUCUUCAUGGCUUAGGAUCAGAUUUUCGUGACAUUGUUGCCCCGAUUCGAGCCUGAGAGUCUUCACUCUCAUUUGAAGAAUUACAUGAUCUGCUACUUGGUCAUGAGGCAUAUCUUCGAAGGCUUGACUCCACUGCUCAAUCCUUGGUAGUUACUGCCAAUACCACUCAACGCAGGGACUCACGCUCCUCAAAGAAUCAGUCUUUAUCAACUUAUCAACAAUCCAAGAAUGACUCCAGAUCAAAGUCUCGACAGUCGAAACAAUACAAAUACCCUCCAAGGUGUCAAUAUUGUGAUCAACAAGGCCACAUUGCAAAAUACUGUCCGAAAUUGAAACCCUCUGAAGCCACUGUGAACUGCACAACUACUACUUCUAGUCUAGACAAACGUUGGCUCAUUGAUUCUGCGGCUUCCCAUAAUAUCACUUCUCAGGUUUCAAAUUUACAAUUUCACUCUGAAUAUGAUGGUACUGAUGAAGUUAUUAUUGGAGAUGGAUCAGGUUUGCCCAUUACUCAUUCCGGUUCUCUUACUCUUUCAUUUCCAAACAGAAAAUUUCAAGUUGAAGAUACUCUAUGUGUUCCUACCAUUAACAAAAACUUGAUAUUUGUUCACCACUUCACAAAGCAAAACAAUGUUAUCCUGGAAUUUCACCCAACUUAUUUUCUUGUGAAGGAUCGGAGAACGGGGGAGAUUCUUCUUCAAGGACCGUGUGAAAAUGAAGUCUACCCUCUACCCUCAUCGCCUGCUGCUACUCCAAUUGCUUUUGUCCAUGAACGCACAUCAGUAGCUGGUUGGCAUCAGCGCCUUGGUCAUCCAUCCUUCAAAGUUGUCACUCGCCUCAUUAGUUCUUUCUCCCUUCCCACCACUUCAUAUCUUUCUAGUUCUAAUAAUUGUCAUUCGUGUUCUACCAAUAAAGCUCAUUAGUUACCCUUUCAUAAACACGGUCUAACUAGCACAACACCAUUUGAUUUACUUUACACUGAUGUAUGGGGACCUUCUCCCACUCCUAGUCUCAAUGGCCACAGAUAUUAUGUUAUUUUUGUUGAUCACUUUACCAAAUAUGUGUGGUUCUUUCCAUUGCAUCAAAAAUCAGAUGUUAAAACCAUAUUUCCUCAUUUCUACAAAAUGAUUGAAACUCGUUUUAACAUAAAAAUUAAAGGAGUUUAUUCCAAUAAUGGAGGAGAGUUCACUGUUCUUUGACCCUUUUUCACAACCCAUGGCAUUAGUCAUUAUACAACAACCCCUUAUACACCCCAACAAAAUGGAGUGUCUGAGCGUCGUCAUCGCCAUAUUGUGGAGACAGGUCAAACCCUUCUAAGUCAUGCCUCUCUUCCAUCAGAAUAUUGGGCUUAUGCUUUUGCAACAGCCACAUAUCUAAUCAAUCGACUUCCAUCACCUGUUCUUCAUCAUAAAUCACCUCUUCAAGCUCUCUUCAAGCAACAACCUCGGUAUGAAAAAUUACGUUCCUUUGGAUGUUUCUGCUUUCCCUUGAUGAAGUCGUAUAACACAAACAAAUUUCAAAAGAAAUCUGUUCCUUGUAUCUUUGUUGGCUACUCUACUAGCCAAAGUGCAUAUCUAUGUCUUCAUCUACAAAGUCAACGCAUAUACACCUCCAAACACGUAACCUUUGAUGAAUCUGUUUACCCCUUCAAACAGGUUUCCAUGCCAUCACCCACUGACUCAUCCCCACCAGAAACCUCUUCUUUUCAGGACCAAUUUUGCAGCUUGCUUCCAGGGAGCUUCCAGCAAUCACACGGGCUCAAGGAGAUAUCCCCUCUGCUUCUUCGACUCCAAGUGAAGAUCCAGCUCUUGUGCAACCUCAAGAGGCACCACUCUCCACUUCAGAUCAGGUACCUCUUAGACCUUCUACUUCUGUUUCUCAACCAGAAAAUUCAAUACCAUCCUCUCCACCACCAUGUCCACGAACCAUCAUCACUCGCUCCAUGAACAAUAUCUUUCGGCCAAAACAACUCCACACUACCACCAAGCACCCCUUACCUGAACCACCCGAACCAAGUUGUGUAAGUCAAGCUCUUAAAGAUCCUCACUGGCGCAAGGCUAUGUCAGAAGAAGUGACAACCCUCCUUCAACAUGGGACGUGGGAACUGGUUCCUCCCACUCCUGGCCAGAAUCUUGUUGGGUGUAAAUUUGUGUUUCGGAAGAAACGAAAUCCCGAUGGAACAAUCAGUCGAUAUAAAGCUCGACUUGUCGCUAAAGGAUUUCAUCAACGGCCAGGUAUUGACUACUCUCAAACCUACAGCCCCGUCGUAAAGCCAGCAACAAUUAGGCUUCUUUUAACCAUUGCUGUCAUGCAUGGCUGGCCCCUUCGUCAGUUAGACAUCAAUAAUGCAUUCUUGCAUGGUAAUCUUGAAGAAACAGUCUUCAUGCAUCAACCUCCAGGAUUUGAAGAUCCAUCUCAACCUCAGCAUGUUUGCAAGCUAAAAAAGAGUAUCUAUGGUCUUAAACAAGCCCCACGACAAUGGUAUAAGGCCCUUCGGGAUGCACUCCUCAGCUUUGGUUUUAUUCACUCGGCCACUGACAACUCUUUGUUCAUCUAUAAGUCUCAUGAUAUCUUGUGCUACUGCCUUGUUUAUGUUGAUGACAUAAUUGUCACAAGCAACACACUCAGCUUUGUGAAUAACAUUAUCAACAAGCUUGGCUCUACAUUCUCAGUCAAAGAUAUGGGCUCCUUGCAUUAUUUCUUGGGAAUAGAAGUGAUUCCAACGCCACAGGGGCUCUUUCUAUCUCAACAUCAGUAUAUACGGGAUCUCCUUUCACGAACCUCCAUGGAAAAUGCUAAAGAAACACUCACUCCAAUGUCCACUACAACCAAGCUUACAGUUCAAGAUAAUUCUGAAUGUGUUGACAGCACUGAGUAUCGCAAGAUCAUUGGAGCACUUCAGUAUUUGGGACUCACUCGUCCCGAUAUUGCCUUUGCAGUCAACAGAUUAUCUCAGUUCAUGCAGAAGCCGACAACAAACCAUUGGGCCGCAGCAAAAAGACUACUCAGAUAUCUUAAACAGACCAUGUUUCAUGGUAUCCUUCUCCAAAAGCAUGAUCAAUUCCAACUCAAGACCUAUAGUGAUGCGGACUGGGCAUCAAAUACGGACACUCGUGUUUCAACCACUGCUUUCAUCACAUUCAUUGGUCCUAAUCCAAUCUCAUGGUCUGCACGCAAGAAAAGGGCAGUCUCAAGAUCAUCUACAGAAGUAGAGUUUCGGGCACUAGCUACUGCCACAUCAGAAACAAUUUGGCUUCAUUCUCUUAUCAAGGAACUUGGUCUCACUCUCAUAGAAGCACCUCAAAUGUUUUGUGAUAAUAUUGGCGCCAACCAUUUCAGUUUAAAUCCAGUCCAGCACACACGGAUGAAACACAUUGAAAUUGAUCUCCUCUUUGUACGAGAUCUUGUCCAAAAGGGAACUAUUCGUGUUCAGCACAUCCAUACCAUUGAUCAACUAGCUGAUCUCCUUACAAAAUCACUCUCACGUCAACGCUUUCAACUAUUAAGAUCCAAGAUUGGUGUUGCAGAUGGCACCUCCAUCUUGAGAGGGCAUAUAAGGACAGCUAGUAUUCAUGCAGAAAAUCAGCAUCAGAAUUCGUAACUGCAUUUGAUCAGCUAGUUUAGGAAAUCUGUACAGCUCAUUCUUUCCUUUAUUUUCACAUAUGUUGUUAUACGUUAGCACAAGUUUAGGAGUAAUUUUAGUUUCUCAAAUCUGUAUUUAUACCUCUUCUUCUAAUAAGAAUUGUGUGAAUCAUUUUGUCUAAACCUCUAUAGGGGUGGACUUGUUUUCCAUGUUUUUUCUCCUCUAAAGGUUAGGGGUGAAAGCAACUUAUAGCUGAUGGUUGUUUUCAGAAAUAAGCUGAUCAUAUCAUAGCUGACCGAUUUCUUCUUUGGUCAUCUUGAAGCAAUUUUAAUAUUUAUUUUUCAGUCAGCUACCUUCUAUCUCUUCUUAGCUAUCUAAAAAUCCUCACUCAUCGGCCUCCCAAUAUCAAUGAAAUGGUGCCCAAAAUCUGAAGUGGCUUGAAUUCAGUUCAGGUCUAAAUAGUGGUUUCUGAAUGUUGUUAAGUGGUUUAUUUUUACAUGGCAAAACAUCUAAAAUUAGUAAUAAGAUUUAAUUAUUAUCUUUCUUCUUAUAAUUAACAAUAUUUUCAAAUAUCUCAAAAUGCCAAAAUAUAUUCCUUCUUAUUUUAUAAAAUUGGAAUUAGAUAUUUGAAAAGUAAUAAUUUGAAAAAAUAAUAAUAAUUUAAAAUAUUUCCAAAUAACAAAAAUACGAAAAUUGACUACAUUACAAUGAUGGUAAUUAAUAUGUAAUUAAUUAUGAUAGAAGUUAGUGUUUCUAAUUAUAUUUGGCUAUUAAGAAAAUGUUAGAAAUUCUCUAGGUUGAGUUUCCUUAAUUUUUCUCUCUUUUUUUCUAGUGGAUGUUUAGAUAAAUGUGAGUUAUGUUUUGGAGUUUUAAUUGGAGAAAUUCUGUGAUGAUGUUUUAUGUCAGUUUUGUUGCAUUCUGAGGUGUUGAACUUUGAAAAAUUGUAUUAAAUUCAGUUUUUGUGCAGAUUUUAUGAUUUUAAUGUUGUUGUUUUCCCUUUUGAAUAAGGAAUAUAAAAACAUUUACGGAGUUUAAUUUCUUCAAAAAUUAGAUGAGUUAUGAAACCAAAAUAGCAGUUGCAUGUGGUUGAAUCUCGGUUUUUAUUUUAGAACUUUUUGGAUUUAUUUUAUAAUUUGUCAUCCAAAUUAAGCAAUUCUUAUAAUUUUAGUUUUGAAAAUGAAUUUCAAAAGCAUAGGCUAAUUUAUACUUUAUGUAUAUGAGUUUCACUUUGUAUAUACUUUCUGUUUUUAAAAACAAAAAGUAGGAAGUUAUAAAGUAAGGGGGUGGAUUUAUUUUAUAAGUUGAUUUUGGUGUCAAAGAAAUUAUUCUUAACAUAAUUUUUAAAAAAUAAAAAAUAAAUUAUAUUUGAUUGGUAUUAUAAAUUAUGCUUUGUGGACCAAGCAUGACUCAUCUUAUUUGGGCCUCCCACUACUUUAAUCCUACACAGAUGACACAUUUUUAUUAAGAUCCAGAUCCUAUUAUCAUGGACUGGGCAAUGGAGGCUCAGAUCCGGCCGUAAUCAGACAAGUUGCUGGGACGCCAUGGCUGCAACUACGGUUGCCUGUAAAAUGAAACCCAUUUCACAGAUCACCCGGGUUGCCCCGCCAAGAAACGAGCCCUUCAUAAUCUCUGAUUUACUUGGAAAGUAUCAUCAUAGCCCCUCGAUUUAUUUACUUGGAAACAGAUCGAGGACCCUUUGAAGGACCCUAAAUACAUCCAACCAAACAAUAAUAAAUAAAUAAAUAAAGAUGGACAUCACGGGUCCAGGGAGGGCUCAGAUCCGCCCGUAAUCAGACAAGAUCCGUUUUCGCCAUGGCUGCAACUACAGUUGCAUGUGAAAAAAAAGGGCAUAGAAACCCAUUUCACAGACAAUCCGGGUCGCCCAGCCAAGAGAUGGGUCCUUUCAAAAUGUCUGAUUUACUUGGAAAGUGUCAUCACAGCCACUUAAUUUUCCUGCACAUUUUCUCAGCAACCAAACAGAUACAAGAUCCUUCUCAGAAAACACAUUUUAAAACACAAACAAAAAAACCAAAACAAAACAAAACAAAGACCAGCCUCACCUCAGCGCGGAAGUGAAUAGCGCGUAAAAGGAAGGCUCAGAUUCGCCUUUUAUCAGACAAGAAAAAGAUGACCGUCAUGGCUGCAACCACAGUUGCUUGUGAAACAAGGCACAAAAGGUCCCAUCGCUUAAGCCAUCCGGGUUGCCCCGCCAAGAAACGGACAUUCCCAGGGCCUGACUUACUCUGAAAACGUCAUCACAGCCUUUUAUGUUGCCCAUAUGAACAGAGAGAGAGUGAGCGCUGUUGAUAGCCUCUGAUGUAUAUGUAUAUAUAUAUAUAUAUGUAAAAGAGCGAAGGAAAAGGAGCGUAGUAGAAGGAAUCAUCGGCUCCGACGACCAUGAGAGUGGCAGAGGAAAAUAGGGCCUUUUUAGGGAUUCUCUCGUCUGGAGGGCAACUUCAGAAAAGGGCUUCUUGAUGCCUUAGUGAGAGAAGUGGAUGGCCCUUUCGAUUUUUAGAUUUAGUAGAGAGAGAAAACAAGGUUAACAAAUCAUGAGAACAAUUUUCCUCUCUUUAUAUAAAUAAUUAUUAAUUAUCCAUCUUUAUUUUGAUUAAAUCACUACCGAAAUUUCGAUUUUUAUUUUGAAGGACCCUAAAUACAUCCAACCAAACAAUAAUAAAUAAAUAAAGAUGGACAUCACGGGUCCAGGGAGGGCUCAGAUCCGCCCGUAAUCAGACAAGAUCCAUGUUCGCCAUGGCUGCAACUACAGUUGCAUGUGAAAAAAGGGCAUAGAAACCCAUUUCACAGACAAUCCGGGUCGCCCAGCCAAGGACAGGUCCUUUCAAAAUGUCUGAUUUACUUGGAAAGUGUCAUCACAGCCACUUAAUUUUCCUGCACAUUUUCUCAGCAACCGAACAGAUACAAGAUCCUUCUCAGAAAACACAUUUUAAAACACAAACAAAAAAACCAAAACAAAACAAAGACCAACCUCAGCGCGGAAGUGAAUAGCGCGUAAAAUGAAGGCUCAGAUUCGCCUUUUAUCAGACAAGAAAAAGAUGACCGUCAUGGCUGCAACCACAGUUGCUUGUGAAACAAGGCACAAAAGGUCCCAUCGCACAAACCAUCCGGGUUGCCCUGCCAAGAAACGGACAUUCCCAGUGCCUGACUUACUCUGAAAACGUCAUCACAGCCUUUUAUGUUGCCCAUAUGAACAGAGAGAGAGAGAGAGAGCUGUUGAUUUUCCAGAGAAUCAAGACAGCCUCUGAUAUAUAUGUACACACAUGUGUAUGAAAAGAAAGAAAAGAAAAGAAAGAGCGAAGGAAAAGGGCUGUUGAUGGGCGUCGUAGAAGUAAUCAUCGGCUCCGAAGACCAUGAGAUUCAGAGAGGGGCAACCACCCUUAGAAACUCCCCAUCCCUCCGACACGGUCCCUGGAGCCUCAGUCUUAAACUAAUGAGGUCUAGCCCUAACUUUUACUCAUCCUUUCCCUUUUAUACUACUCCCUGUCUUCUUCUUCUUUGCUUUUAUUUUACUUUUUUGACCUUUCUACCCUCACUAAACCCGGUAUCAAGGAUUGAAAUGUCGAAUUUCGGGAAAUUUCCCGAUAUUUCCUACCAGUCCAGCCCGCGCACAGGAUACAAAAUCUGUCCAUUUUUUAAAAAAAAAACACAAGAUGUUAUUUGGUAAUCUGAUCAUGAUUUGCAGGCAAAGGUUGUGUUUUUCAGCCUGGCUCAAAAAUCGUGGAUUUAGGGUUCGUGAAAUUUAAAUCCAAUGGCACAAAAGCAAAGAGACCCCUAGAACAGAUCCAGAAAACACAGGGAGCAAAAAAAAAAGCAAUUUUUUUGGUUUUCCUUGGGGGUUUUGCGUGGAUUUUCUCGGAAAUCAAACGAGGAUGAAUUUUCCCGGAAAUCGAAUGGGGGAUGGAUUUUCUUGGGAAUCAAACGGGGGUUGCAAAAAAAAAAAUAACAUGAUUAGAUUAGUACCUGCGAGGAUUGAGAGUGGCAGAGGAAAAUAGGGCCUUUUUAGGGAUUCCCUCGUCUGGAGGGCAACUUCAGAACAGGGCUUCUUGAUGCCCCAGUGAGAGGAGUGGAUGGCCCUUUCCAUUUUUAUAUUUAGUAGGGAGAGAAAACAAGGAAACAAAUCAUGAGAACAAUUUUCCUCUCCUAUAUAAAUAAUUAUUAAUUAUCCAUCUUUAUUUCGAUUAAACCACUACCAAAAUUUCGAUUUUUAUCAGUAAUAUUUUAUAAAUUAAAAUUAAUUUAAUAAGAUAAAUUAUUAAUAAUUUUAAUUAUUUAAAUAAAUUAAUGUUAAUAAAAAAUUUAUUACCACAUAUAUAUAAAAUAAAAUCUUAGAAAUUAAAUAUCAAAUAAAGUAUUUAUAUAAAUUAAUUUAAUUUUUCAUAUAAAAUGUAAUAAAAAUUUAUAAAUAAAUAUUGUCUUCAAUAAGAUGAUUCAUUAGAUGAAACCAUAUCAAUCUUCAUUUUGAUACUAAAGACUAUUACAAUAUCAUAUGUAUUAUAUUUAUGUAUAAAUUGUUUUUACUCAAUAAAAUCAAAUAUUUUUUAAUUCAAUUUUAAUUUUAUACAUUUUCAAAAUUCAUAUUUAUUAUUCUUAAAAUUCAAAUAAAUCUACUGAUGUUUUUCUUCUUGAUCAUAUCUAUAUCAAUUAUAUUUAUAAAAUAACUCUAAAAUAUGUAUUUUUACUUAUUUUAUCAUUUUUUUUAUAAUUUUCUAAAUAUUCCUAUAAAUUUUAAAUAAUUUUCGUUCCACCAAUAUUUUCAUUCUAAUCUUGUAUCUAUCGAAAAUAAAUGAAAGACAAUUUUUUACAACAAAAUUUUUUAUGAUUUUUAAAUCAAAAGUUAGUUUUAAAAUCUCAAAUAUUUUUAAUCCACUAUUAUGUUUUUAAAAUUAUAUAAUUAUUUUUUAAAAUAAUAAAAACAAAUAAAAAUAAUUAAGAUUAUGUUUAGUUUGUUAAAAAAAAAUAUUUUAUCAAAUUUGAUUUAAUAGUGAAAAUAAAAAUAAAAUAAUAAUUAAAAUUACUUAAAAACCAAUGUAACUUAAAUUUUUUUUUUUUUUGAUCUUUAGCUUAAAAAAAAAAAAUAAAUAAAAUGAAUUUGAAAAGAUAAUUAAUCUCUCUAAAAGGAAGAGACUCAAAAUUAUCGGAGGAAGAAAAAAAGGGAGUAAGAUUUGAAGGAUAAAAAUAAAGAAGGAACAAGUGGGUGGGUAUUGCAUUAUAUCCAUGAGUUGAUCAAUAACUAGCUCCAUUUCCUUUCCUUUAUUUUCUUGCCAGCCAAACAAAAUCUCAAGCCUGGAACCAUCAUCCCAGCAACCAUUUAUUAAAAGCCAUACACCAAGGAUUCGUAUAACACCAUGGAAUCAACCAUCAUCACCCUCUCAAACCUACAUGCCAAAGCUACACAGACUACUCCCAAGUUCCCAAAUAACCAAGCUUCAUAUCUACUAGCUCCAAAACGGUUAAACAAGAUGAAAGAAGGAAAGGAAGAGAUUACUUGAUGAGAGCCUGGUAAAGGCAGAUCUGCAAAAAUUACAAGCCUUGUCCACAUAGCUUUAUUUAUAGCCCCAUGAAAGCAGAAUUACUUCUUCAUUACCAAAUGUCAGUAUAGGCAAUGCCAGACCUCCAUCUUCCCAUGGCUGCCAAGCCCUUUUAUCAAUAUGUGAAGAUGCAAACCAAAAUGGUUAGCCCAUCAUCCAAAGCUAGCUCCUCCUCCUCCUCCUCCUUAUUUACACCUAACAGUUUCCCUGAUUCACAACAAGUUCAAUUUCCUUGCUUAACAUCUUUCAGAUAGAACAGAACAAUUACGAUUACAAUCACAAAAUGUAACACCACCCCACAUCUUCCUCUGUUUAGCUAAGCAUUACAAGACCUCAAAGUUGAUGUUCCAUCAUCAUAAUAGGCAUGGUGUAUUUCCAGUCUCAAACAAGUUAGGUUCCAUCCUAACACCAUAAUGGUGGGUUGUUUUACAUCAGACAACGAAUCUGAGUCAGUUAACAGGCAAAAAGAAACAUUCAAUAGUUCAAGAAGAUGGCUUAGAAUUUUCUGAAAACCUCAAAACUGUUUUCAUUUAUAAUUACAAACCAACCCAAAAGUUGAACAAUAUGAGGCACUGGGCUGAACAAUCACCUCAGAACUCUGGUAAAAAGAAUGAAGGUUUCUAUAGAUAAAAUGGCCUUUGCAAAUAAAGCAAUGAGAAAAACGGGAUAUAAAUUAAGGAAUAAUAGAAUGAAAAUGUUGAAAGGAAUUUCACAUGGCUUCGAAGAAUGAAUAGAUUCCGUACCCUUGCCGAGAAAUUACAUGGCUGCCUUGCCCCUCUGUUGAAGUACUAUAUCAUGCACAACUUCCCCUGCUGAGUUAACAAAGUAGGUUUCCUGCCAUGGAAAAAGAACAUUUGUUGGUGCUUCAACAAGAACAAAUUUAGUCAAAAAAGACAAAUACUCACAAUCUCUAAGGAGCUGACUCUAUGAAGAAGGAACCCAUUAACCAUUCCCCUGAGGAAACAAAGAAAAAAAUCACACAAACUUCAUAGUUUCAUAUGUAUGAACCAAUGUAGAACACCAUGAAGAACUAUGAACAGAAAUACUCACUUACUAAAACCUGAUAUUCCAUUUACAGAAGCAAGAGGAAGUUUUUCAUCUAUUGAACCUGGGUUCCUGAUGUAAGCUAUACUAUCUUUACGAGCAUAGUCACUACAUCCCUCCCCACUCAGGUACACAUCCUGGUGAGCAAAUGCAUGGAUAAAGCGUUACUUUCUUCAUAGGCACCAGAAAGAUUCCAAAUUUAACAUAUCAGAAAGUUGUUCAUUCAAUUCAUUAGGAACUGUCUUAGAUUUUCAUAUAUAUUGAAAAUUUGGACUUUGAUCAUCUCAAAAGCAAGUUCUCUAAAGAACCCAAAAUCAAAACCUUGGGCAUGGGAUGUCUUCACCCAUUGAUACUCAAUGGGAAGAGCCAUAAAUACUUACCACUCCAAACUUAUAAAAAAUAUGGUGUAGAUGCUCAUAAAGUUGUAUUUCUAUUCAUUCCCUGUUUCCUUCACAAACAGCCAAUGAGCAGAAACCAACAACUAUGCGCCUGGAUCAUAAGGAGGAAAAAAGGAGACAAUUAGUACUUGGGAUGGAUAGUUUCUUUAUUAAGUUAAACAUGGAGUUGAAAUGGUAGGGGUGCUUGGCAAUGGCAACAGGACAGCAAACAAUGAAGGUCCAACAUAGUAACCAGAGAAAACAAAAGGAAAACGAAUGUUUUAACUCCACAACAAUUUGGGUUAAGGCAAAAUUUAAAUGAAAACCAAAAUUUUAUUGUUGAAAGAAAGAAAAUUUGUGAAAUAAAAUUAAGUUGAGAAGUAGAUUAUCACGCAUCAGAACCACUCUGAACUGACAUGAUUUUCAAUUUUUUCAAAAUUUUCCAGACAUUACAACCUUGCUUAUUCCUAGGUUCAUGCAAUUAUAAACAGCCAAUAUGGUGCAAUGUCUAGUGUCUUUGUCAGCCCAUGUAAUUGAUCAUUUCCAGCACCAUUUAACGGAUUCAUAAGCAUAAAAUCCUUCAAGUUUCAAAGAGGAGCCCGAUUAAGAGGAAAGAAGAAUGAAAUGCAGCAUAAAGGAGCAGAAACCAAAAAAAAAAGAAACAAAUGGGGGAUAAAAUGUGUGAUAAAUACAUAUAUGGGAUAUUGAUAGUGUAACUAAAUGAAAUAGAUAUCAAAUCAAUCAUAUACACAUAUAAAUACAACAUAGAAAUAAGCAUGGCCAUGGUGAAAAAGGGCUGCAAUGUGGGUUGUAACCAGAGAAUGGAAUAUGGACAAGGAGCAUAAAAAAUGAUUUGGCAGGCCAAGAAAUGGCUAUUUUAAUAUGAUGAAAAAGAAAGAGAACAAAAGAAAUUCAUUAUGAACAUGACUUGAAGAGUACACCUACGCUCAAAUAAUGACCAAGUGAUCAACUUUAAAAUCACAUUCCUAACCUCAGCCCUACCCCUCAUGGAAAAAUGGAAAAAAAAAAAAUUCUUAAAAGGCCUUGAGAGGGGUAAACCUGCUGGGACUCAAACCUGGAACCACCCCACAUCCCCACCCCCAACCCAAGCUACUCGAGCCACACCUCAAGGGUGAUAAAGAUCUAACCUUCAGCAUUGAAUAAAAAAUAAUCUAAAUGUGCAAAAAAUAUCCAGCAUUUUCUCAUGCAUUUUAAUUGCUUACUAGACUAGAUAGAAUCUCCAGUCAUUGAUGAGAACAAAGAACUCAGUGUCUUUAUUAUUAUUAUUGAAUAAAAAAUAAUCUAAAUGUGCAAAAAUAUCCAUUAUUUUCUCAUGCAUUUUAAUUGCUUGCUAGACUAGAUAGAAUCUCCGGUCAUUGGUAAAAUUCAAUAAUUCCAAUUUCCACCAGUUGAUUUGUCAAGUCCCUAAUUAAAUAAUGAAAGAUACAAUACUUGAUGAGUUAUAUACUAAAAUACUUGUGCUUCCCAAUCUAAUUCUAACAAGAACCCUACAAAAUGCACACCUUAAUCCAACUCAACCAACACUCAAUCUUGCGAUUACCUCAUAGUCCACAAGGUACAUCGGAGAGACCUAACUUAUCUUGAUGUUACAAGAUUUCACAUGAACAUCUGAAUACUGGUUUCCAUAAUUCUUUGUUAUCAUACAUCUCCUGGGGCAUGGUAAAGAUGAAUAUAAAAACAAAAUGAAAUCAAUACAAGAAGUUGAUAGCCCCUCUAUGAUCAUAACUGGGGUCAGCACAAUCAGUAACAUAAGAUUCAUGGUGUAGUAUUGAAGUGUAUCAUAAACUCAACACAAGCAUAUGCAAUGUCAAUUAUCAUUAAGUCAACAAUGAUAUUAAACAUUGGUAUAAACAAAUGAAACAAUGACAACACAACAGGAAAAAACCUUAUACAACUAUUAAUCUAUCCUCUUUGGUAGUCUUUUAUCAUCUUCCACAAAUUUCCCAUUUUCCUCCAUAUGCUGCUCAGAAUCCGACCCCAUUUUUUUUGUAUCUUUGUCAACAUUAAAGGAAAUAAAUGCAUGCAACUUUUAAAGAUUUGAGGCCAUGUGAAAAACUUGUCAUUUGAUGUCAAGUUUUUUUUUAUAUGAAAAGGUUUUCCAAAAUGAGAAUUGCAGAACUAUCAAUCUAUCUUCAUCUAGGUUUGGAGCUUCUCAAGUCUUUUAUCAAUUAUCAUCCUCCAUAAAAUUCCAGUUUUCUUCUGUACAUUGCUCAACCUCCAACAUAAUUUUUAAUUUUUUUUCUAAUUAAGAUUAAAUACAUGCAUAUUUUGAAGAUUAAGCCAUGUGGAGAAUUGUCAAUCAAUCGUAAGUUUUUCCUAUAUCAAAUGCAUUUUUUAAAAUUUUCGGCCUUGUUGGAAAAAAGACCUAAUGAGAUGGGUUUGUAUCACAAAACACUAAGGAUUGACUCAAAAGUCCCAAUGAAAUUAUAGCUACUGUAAAAACCAUGUAACCGCUUCCAAACUUAAACCCAUAUUACAAGAGGAUAGUAGAAGAGGCCUCUCUUCCGACUGACAUAAUAACCAUGAGAAGUAUUAGCCAACAAAUCUUAAAUUGAGCAAAUUCAACAAACCAGUUGAUACCUUAAAUGCCCCAGUAUCCAAACCAAUAAUGUCUAAGGUUUUCCCAAAAGGUAUUUUGAUCUGCUUUAGGAAGUAACCUGUUCCCCGUCCUCUUGAAACUCUGGUACUGUACCUACAAGAAUUACAAUUCAGGAUUACCACACAAAGAGACUAAACCAAAAAGACUGUUACAUUAAAAACUACAUCGGAGUCCAAGUUUUGUAACAAUGAAAUUUCAAAAGAUGAGCUACAAAAAUGACACAACUGAUUGCAAAGCGGAUGGCAUACCAGGGAACUUUCAGUGUUGAAAAACGCCAAGUACCCUGUAAAAGAAGAUGUCAUCUUCUAAGAUUGUUCCUAACAGAUGAAACCAAUGAAAUCUAAUUAAACUCAGCACUAAUUUAUUUUCCAAUCACACACCUAUAAAACAAAACAAAAUAAAACUACAGAAAUAAAUAUGAACCACUAUUCCAUUACUUCAACCAAAGCAUGGUUUCUAUUAUUUCAGUUAAAUUCACAAAAAGUUAGGAGAGAAUCAUUUCUACAACUUACCCAGAGUGAAGCAACGCAUAACUUUGAUUAAAUCUGGCUAAACUACAACUAAAGUUUCCAUAUAAAUGGAGUGUAAGCCUAAAGGUGCCACAAGAGAGUUCAUAUAAAAAAUAGUAAAAGGGCUUCCCACAUUGAAUUUACUAGCCAUGGUCUUACAUUGUGUGAGUUGAUCGUCUUCCCCAAGUUCACUAAUGUUUAUCACAAACCUUGCCUUAUAAGUCUUUGCGGCCUUCUCCAUCUUCAUGGGAAAAAACAAUUCCAAUUAGAACAGGGAAGAUAAAAUAUAAACUCAAAAUGCAAUUAAUGUAGUAGACGAUAAUCAUUCAACUAAGAUCAGUAACAGAGGGGGGAAAUAACAAAGCCUAAAAACAGAGAAGGUGGAAGGCAGAAGUAAGUUGGAUGAAUUAGAACCAAGAAGACAAGACAAGAUCAAAACCAACAGAUGAGAAGGCUGACACAAACAAUUGAGAGAGAUCAAAAACUGAACCAUAUAAUAAAAAACUCACUCACAUGAUUAUUCUCUGGCCAAAAGAUAAAGGUUAUGUUAUUAUUUUUUUAUGUUUAGUUUCAAAGUAGAAAAUAAGCGAUAAAAUCAAAUAUAAUUAAAAUUAUUUAAAUUAUAUAUAUUUUUCAAUUAUUUAGUCUAUACAUAGAACAGAAAAAAUAAAUAAAAUGAAUUUGAAAUAAUAUAAAAAAUAAUUUAUUAAAUUUAAUUUAUUUUUAAAUUUUCUUUAUCGCUUUUUCUUUCUUCCUAUUUUUCUUUUCCAUUUUUUUCCCACAUUUUCUCUUAAAUUUUCCACUAAGCAAACAAAGCCAAAGAUCCUCAAGUUGCAUAUACAAUUAAAAACGGAAAAAGAAAGAUCUUCUACUGUUCAACAACUGUCAUAUUAAAAAAAAUAAUAAAAAUAAAAAUUCGAUCCCAGUAAAACCUAACACAAAAUUCUUUCCUCAAAGUUAAAUCAUUCACAUAGAAAUUAACUGAGAAAGAAAUAAUAAACUGUUUGGUUGCUGAGAAAAUGGAGGCAUAGAAAAGGAAAUCAAAAUUUUGAAACUCUAUUAUUUCCAUUAUUCGAAGGCCCGGAAGAAAGAGGGAAAAAACUUCCACUCUUACCUUAAUUUAGGUUGUUUUGUCAAUUUCGAGGGAGGAAAAAACAGGAAAUUAAUUUCAAGCGAUUUCACUUUCAGCAUUCUCAGUAACCAAACGGAGCGUCUGAUAAAACUAUCAUAUCCACCAACAGAGCCAAAACCAAAUAUACCCACCAUCAACAUCUUAAAACAAAAUCCAUAAAGAACGAGAAAAACCCAUGCUUUUCUUCAAUGAACAAAAGGAAUCAAUAGAGAGGAUGAGAAAUAGACCUGUUUGAGAAGAUGGGUCUGCUGAUUAAGAGGUCUAAAUCCUCCUCUAACACUGAUAAAGUAAAGGUCAAGAGGCCUGCUACUGCCACUGCUGCUCUGGGACAUGGGCUUCUCCCAAGGCCGACCCAAGUUGAAUGCACAAGCAGAGAGACAACUGUGUUAUAACAGUGCGAACCCAUGAAGGUUUCCCCAUUGUUAACACAGGUCUCACAGCCUCAGCUCUUCAACUGGUAAUUGAUUUCACUCAUAGAUCUGAAGAUAUAUGAGGAAUGUAACCGUCGACACCCGUAUCUCUAAUUUCCUCAGUGUUAUCAAUUGCUUGAUUAAGAUAUUCGCUAAUGAAGCUCCACUUGGCAGUUGGCAGGCAGGACCCAUUAUUGAAGGGAAAUGCCUCUACAGUUCGUUUAUAUUAUGGACUCUUUGACUAAAAUCGCUUUGUCAUAUUUGAAACUUUCCUCACAAACAAACGCACCAUCAGCCAUUAAACAUCAUAUUUCAGCAUUCUUUUUUUGCCCUUUUGAUAAUUGUGACACUGUCACACUCCUAUCUCCUAAUUUUCAAAAAUUAUUUUAAAUUUAUAAAUUGAGUUACCACUUCAAAAUAUAAAUUUUUAAAAUAAAAUUAAGUACAUUUAUACUAAAUAUGUGUAUUUGCGUUUAUUACCUUGUAAUAAUAUUUUAUUUAUUUUAUUCUUUAUUAUUAUUGUAAUUUAGAUGAGUUGGUUCGAUCUAAUCUAAUAUUUGAACGAAUUUGGAUAUUUAUUUUUAAUAUUCAGAUUAGACUUUGGUUCAUUUUUUAAAUCUCAUCUUAAUUUGGAUUUGGCUUGAGAGAUACCUCUAAUGAAAAUUAUUAUGGUUCUCUUUAUACAUUCUAUUCUAUUUUUCUUUUAAUAUCUUUGUUUAUUCUCUCGUCUUUUCUUCUUCUUAUUCUUUUAUUUCACAACAUGUUAUCAACACAGUUCUGAAUAUAUAGAAAAAGAGAAGAAUUCAUCUAGAAAAUUUCUUAUAGGUAUGUAGUCUUAUUCUCUUCGAAUGAAAUAUGAAUAGUAUGCAUUGUAUUAUUAUAAUUUUUAUUUACUUUAUCUCAUAGCCAGAAAUUAUGUGAAUCAUAUUUCAUAUAAUUACAUAUUUUAAUUAUUUAAUAACUAGAAGUUAUAUAGAAAAUUUUUCAUAACUAAAAGUUAUGAAAAAAAUAUGUCCAAUCUUUAUAACAAGAUGUUAUGGAGUAAAUUACAAAAAUACAAAUACGUAGUCGGAAACUAUGCAUAAGAUCCCUAAUUACUUUUUUAUUAUAUUAUAUAACUGAAAGUUAUAUAAAAUAACAUUAUAUGGCCAGAAGCUAUAUAAUGAAGAGUUCAUAAUAUGAAGCUAUGUACAAAUCCAAAAUUACAAAUAUACGACCAGAAGCUAUGUAUAUAACUCAUAAUUAUUUGUUUUUAAUUAUAUAGUAUAACUGAAAGUUAUACAAAAUAAUAUUAUAUAGCCAGAAGCUAUAAAAUGAAUAGUUUAUAGCUUGAAAUUAUGCACAAAUCUGCAUAAUGAAUAGCUCAUAGCUUGAAGUUAUGCACAAAUUUAUAUAAAAAAUAGUUCAUUGCCUAAAACUAUGUACAAAUUUAAAUAUUUUCUUGUUAUGACAAAAUAAUCAUAACUUGAAGUUAUGAAAGAUAUUAACUUUUAAUUUCUUUAUUUUCUUUUAAUUAUAUUGUGUAACCGGAAGUUAUACAUAAAUAGUUUAUAGUCUGAAGUUAUGCACAAAUUUACAUAAAAAAAAAAGUUCAUACCCUGAAUCUAUGUAUAAAUUUGCAUAUUUUUUUGUUUUGAUAAAAUAAUUAUAACUCAAAGUUAUGAAAAAAUAUUGGCUUUUAAUUUUUAUUUCAUAUUCACUUAUUUUUCACAAUAGAAAUCAUGGAAAACAAUUUUUAUUAACAAUGGUUUCAUAACCAGAAACUAUGCAAACAAUUUCUAAUUCUCUUGUAUAACCAGAAGUUAUACAAAACAAAAUUGUCAAUGAACAACUAUGUACCUAGAAGAUAUAUAAUUUUUUUUAAAUUUUGUUAUAUAAUCAGAAGUUAUAUCAUAAUAUAAUUGUCAAUUGUUUAAUGUUAUUAUAACAUUAUUUAAAUUUUAAUUAUUCAUAGCCUGAAGCUAUGAAGAUAAAGUUAGUAAAUUAUUAAUUAUUAGAGCUUGUAUAAGAAGUUAUAUGAAUAUAUAUAUAUAUAUAUAUAUAUAUAUAUAUAUAUAUAUAUAUAUAUAUAUAUAUUAUAACCAGAAGUUAUAUAAAUAUUAUUAUUCAUAAACCAAAGUUAUGAAAAUAAGAAAAUUAAUAUUCUUUGUGCUAAUCAAAUGUUAUGUCAAAGUUGCUAAUAUGUACUUUUUUUUAUAGUUAGAAGCUAUAGAGAACAAAAUUGUUAACUAACAAUUUUGUACAACUUUAUGAAAUUUAUAUGACCAAAAGUUAUAAUGAAAUAUAUUAUAGCUUGAAGCUAUGAUAACAAGCAUAUAGAUAAUAUUUACAUAUUAUCAAAAGAUUAAUAUUUUGUAUAUCAAGUUAUACAAAUAGACAAGUGUUUGAUAGUUUUUAUAAAUUUCUAUUAUUAGAAGUAUAUUGUCAUUAGUAGAAAAAUUUAUAUAUAGAUGUGGAAUUUUGAAUUGCAUGAAAGUAUGAUAUUUUUGUAUCAGAGGCGAUGGUUUGGAAUACUUUUUUUAUUCAAGUUAUUUAAUAUACAAUAAUAUUUUGAUUUAGAAAUUUGAGAUUUUUUGGGUACAUGUGAAAUAUAUGACUUGGUCAUAUGAUUAAUAAAUUGAUUUCGCAUGUCUUAUUUGUUUAUAACAUGUUUUUAUGAUUGAAAUUUUUUGAGUUGUAUAAAAUAAUAUAUAUUAUUGUAUGUUGUCACAUAUGAUAUUUUUAUUAAUGCAUUAAUUUCAUUAUUCAAGAAUAUCUUUUCAAAAACAAUAGAUUCAACUAUUAUUUUUAAUAUAUUAUGUUAUAUCUUUACAUACAUAUUUAUAUAGAUUUGUAAUGUUUCAAUUGAAGUUUUGAAAUAACAAGAUGCUUUAAAUCAUGAUAUGUUCUUUUGAAAUUUUGAUUUAUGAAUUAAUUUCUGCACAUUGAUUUAGAACGUAAUAAUAUUUUGAAUAAAAAUUAUUGAUUUAUCACUACAAUUAGUUUGAUUAUUGAAAGACUUCCUAGUUAUUUCAUAUAUAAAUUGCUCCACACUUAUAAAAUCAAAUGUGUGAGAUAUUUAAGAAACAUAUAACUUUAAAUUAUCUUUUUCAUAUUUGUUUUGUUGUGUUAUAUAUGCUUUCAUUGUUUUUACACAACUUAUUAAGGUAAGUCAUCAUCGAUGACUAGUAUUUUUCCAUUUGAUUUUAACUCAUUCUCUAUGAUAAUAUUUCUUCAACUUUGAGGUCUUUAUGACAUGUUUUAUGACUUGUUAUUUUGAUGAAACUCUUAUCUCAUUAAUUGCACAACAUUGAUAACAAACAAUGUUAAUACUAUAUCAGGUGAUAUAAACCUAAUUAAAGGCUCUAGAAUAACUUAUAAUAUGUCACUAGUAGUAUUUGAUUCCAUGUGAAUGACACUUUAUACGAUGAUAGAUCAAGAAGAAUCUUGUAAGACCAACUUGGUCCCCCAUGGUAAAAGGUCGUAUGGAUGUACAUUAUAAAACCAGAAGUUUUUAUUUAGUAACUAGUCUACCUAUACACUUGAAAGAUAGAAUGACACGUUGUGCAGAUUAUCAUUUUAAUUAGACAAUUUUCUUGCCGUUAGGGAUAGAAGAGUCAAUUCCAGAAGAACAGCGUGAAAUUAUUUGGAAUGCAUCGACUUUGACUUAUCUUGAUCCUCGUACUAAUCAAUGUGAAGUGGAAGUUCAAAAGAUUAUUUAUUUGCAAGAACUUGUAAAUCAUUAACUACAUGUUAUCAUUGAUGCAAAGAAAGUGACAAUCAUUUUCGCUUACCUAGAACAUUCCAGUACGAAUUAAUGUCCCUGAAUGACAAUUAAAUAAUGCGUUGAUGUCCCUAAAUGACAAUUAAAUAAUGAGUUGAUGUCCCUGAAAGACAAUUAAAUAAUGAGUCUAAUGCACACUUGAAGCGUGGUAAACCCUGAAAAGGCAAACAAAUUCCUUUAAAAGAAAAACACAAGGAAAGAUAUAUGAAAUGUGACACUCUUGAAGAAGUUGCAUAUAAAAUGAGUUAUUAAAAUGAUUGAUCAAUCUCAAGCAGCCCCUGAAGAGGCACAGUUUAAACAAGUAGCCCUAUGAUAGGUGUAUGUUUAAUAAUUAGUUCCUGAAAAUGUACAAGUACCUGAUAUUGAUGAGAUCUCAAUUAUUUACUUAUAUAUGGAAAAAAAAUGGGAUUGAAAUACUCUUGUCAUUAACAAUAUAUUUUCUUUCCAAAUAGCUGUUGACAUUAUAAGAAAUGAUGAGGAUCCCAAAGUAGAAACUAUGAAUGAAUGUCAACAUAGAAAAUAUUGGCCAAAAUGGAAAGAAUUCAUCCCGAAUAAAUUAUACUCAUUAGAAAAAUGAGAAGUAUUUGGACAUGUAGUCUAAACGCCUGAAGUUGUCAAACUUAUUGGAUAUAAAUGAGUAUUUAUAAGAAAGUGUAAUGAGAAAAAUGAAAUCACAAUAUAUAAAAUGUGACUCAUAGCUCAAGGUUUUCCGCAGAAACCUACUAUUAACUACGAGGAAACAUAUUCUCCUAUGAUGGACGCAACCAUAUUUAGAUAUCUAAUUUGUUUAACAAUCUUAGAAUGACUAGAUUUGCGUUUCAUGGAUGUCAUUAUUGCAUAUUUACGUGAAUCUUUAGAUAAUGACACACACACACACACAUAUAUAUGAAAAUCCCUGAAGGAUUUCAAAUGCCUGAAGCAACAAAUUCAAAACAUUGUAGCAUAUACUCAAUUAAGUUACAAAGAUCCUUGUAUCAAUUAAGCAAUCCAAAAACAUGUGAUACAAUCACUUCAAUGAAUAUUUGAAGCGAGAAAUAUGUAUGUAUUACCUUAUUUAUUUAUACAUAUUCAUUAUAUUGAAUUUUUUCAAUUAUUAUUGUAUAUGUGGAACAUUGAUUUUUUUUGGAACUCCUGAAGAGCUUACAAAAAUAGUUGACUAUUUAAAAAGUAAUUUUUGAAAUGAAAGAUCCUGGAAAACAAUUUUUUUUUCCUCGGCCUGCAGAUCGAGUAUUUUUCAAACGAAAUAUUAGUUUAUUAGUCAACAUAUACAAAGAAAUUCUUGAAGCACUUUUAUAUGGAUAAAUCACAUCCAUUAAGUUCUUUGAUGAUAGUUCAUUCACUUGAAGUGAAAAAUGACUCCUUCUGUCCUAAAGAAGAUAAUAAAGAACUACUUGGUCCAAAAAUACCAUAUUACAGUGUUAUUGGUGCACCGAUGAAUCUUGUAAAUUAUACAUGACCAAAUAUUGCAUUCUUUGUUAAUUUACUUAUGAGAUAUAGUUCUACACCAAUUCAAAGACAUUGGAAUAAAAACAAUCAUGUACUACAAUAACAUGGGUCUAUGUUAUUCCAAAUGAUCAGAAUCUUAAGUGCUUGAAUAUGUAGAUGUUGACUAUCUUUCACACCCCCACAAAGCUCGAUUUUAAAUGAGGUAUGUAUUUAUCUAUGGUGGUACGACAAUAUCGUGGAGAUUAAUCAUGCAAAUAAUGGAAACAUGUGGACUACCCUCCAUCAAAGGUAAUGCUACCAAGUUAAUAAUGUUGCAUGCAUUGCACAUAUUAAAGAAUGAUACAUUAAGGGUGAUAGAAUUAAGUAUAUAUCGUCCAAGUCUUUUACUUUCAUUAACUCAAAAAGAGUGAUGAAAUUGCUAUUCGACGACAAUUUAGUAGAUCUAUUCACAAAGGCAUUGCCAAUUGUAAUACUCAAGAAGCUCAUUGGAAUACAGCGACUCAAAGAUCUCCAUGUUGUGCUACUAGAGAAAAUAUAAUCAUGUCAACAUGAGGGGGAGCUAAUUGAUAAGAAUAUCACUACGCUACACUCUUUUUUCCUUCAUCCAAGUUUUGUCCCAUUGGAUUUUACUGGCAAGGUUUUUAAUGAGACAGUUGUGGUAAUCCAAAAAAAUAUUGUACUCUUUUUCUUUCACUAGGGUUUUUCCCAUAGGGUUUUUCCUAGUAAGGUUUUAAUGAGACAUUCUUAUGAUCAUCCAAGGAGGAGUAUUAUAAAAUAUGAGAUUUUGUAUCACUAUGGUAACUUGUGGAUGAUCAUUCAUAUUAAUGUACAUCUCUUUGUAACUCCCUAUAAAAAGGAGAUACCUCUAAUGAGAAUUAAUCCGGUUCUCUUCCUAUAUUUUGUUAUACUUUUCUUUGAAUAUCUUUGUUUAUUCUCUCGUUUUUUUUUUCUCAUUCUUUUAUUUCACAACAUAUAUAUAUUGUUAGGAAUUUGAGGCUAAUCCAACUUAUGGUAAUCACCCUAGAGGGGGGGGGGGGGUGAAUAGGGUGAUGGUCUCUUUUCGCAAAUUUAAACAAGUGAAUGUAAGAGACAAUUAUAUACAAAUAUCAAUAUAUAUAUAUAUAUAUAUAUAUAUAUAUAUAUUGUUAGGAAUUUGAGGCUAAUCUAACUUAUGGUAAUCACCCUAGAGGGGGGGGGGGGGUGAAUAGGGUGAUGAUCUCUUUUUGCAAAUUUAAACAAGUGAAUGCAAGAAACAAUUAUAUGCAAGUAUCAAUAUAUAGACAAUUGCAUAUAAAUUAAAGAGUAGGGAAGAGAGAAUGCAAAUACAAGAGUUUAUAGUGGUUCGGCGCAACCCGACCUACAUCCACUCUCCUCUAAUUUCAAUCCUGAGCUUGAGGUUCCAUUAAUCCAAGACUUCCAAACCAAGCCUUCAAGCAAUACAAUUGGAUUAUGGUUCCAAUUCACCCUCUUGGACUUUUGGCUCCAAGCACCCUUUACACUUCUCAAGAGAUAUCCCACUCUUGAACAACCCUUCAAGUGAUACCCCACACUUGAGAAACUUCCUCUCAAAGAUUUACAAAUGAAUGAUCUCUCAAAAAUCCUAGCACAAAAACUUUAAGCUCAAAUGAUACAAGAAAAACUAUGAUUGAAUGGUGCACUAAAGACAUGCAAGUUUUGAAAUAAUGGUGCACUAAAAAAUACUCUUCCAAGGCUCAAAUAUAAUCAAGAAAGAUUUGGGAAGAUUAAGCUCUCGAAACAAUGAAUAUUGGAGCCUUUUUAUAGAAGAAAAAAACCAAACUAGCCGUUGGGGGUUCGUCCGGUUGAGCUAGGGGUUGAUUGGUUGACUAGCCGUUAGCAUUUAAUGAUUGGUAGGUGACUGUUGGGCCUCAAUCGGACCUCGACCGGACCUCAACCGGUUGAUGUUCAACCUUGACCAGGAAGAGAAGGCCACUAGGAGAGAGAGAAACUUUUUAGCCUCCUUCAACCGGUCCUCGACUGAACGAGCACAACCGGUGAAUCGGUUGAACCGGUUGAAUCAUUUUUUGGCUCAAUACCCAACCUUUUUCAACUUAAAACCUUUUAACACAAGUUUGAAAAUCAUUUAACACAAGGUUUUAGUUAAAAAUAUGAAAUCAUCCAAUUCUUAAAAUUUUUAAAACAAUAUUACUUUUGGAUGAUUUUGAUGCAAAAAUAAAGAAUGAAAUGCAUGAAAGUCCUAGUGCACCAACAACCUUACAAAGAGAUCUUAUGAAGCUUUGGUCUUAAAAAAAUUUUCUCUUUGAGGUGAUCUUCUUCUUCAUGAUUUCUCCUUGGCUUGAUUUGUCUUUAUGAUUGCCACUUUGGAAAUCAUUUUGCCUAAUCACACUUGAAAUAUGACCAUUAGUUUUAAACCUUGUUUUGUUAUCAUCAAAAUCAAGAUUAACCAAACUUUGGUUUCACACACACACACACACACACACACACAUAUAUAUAUAUAUAUAUAUCAAACUAUAAUUAUAUAAUUUUUUUAAAUGUAUAAAUCCAUUUUAUUUUUUUAUUAUCUUAAAAUUUUUAUUUUUAAAUAUAGAAAUGUAUUUUUGUUAAAAAAUUAUAUUUCAUAUUUUUGUUCCAUUAUUACUUUUAUUCCUUCUUUUUUGUUUGAUUUUUGCAUGUUAUGUUGUCCAUUUUUCAUUUUUAUUUCUUUCAUUUUUUUUAUUUGGAAAAAAAUAAAUAAAAUAUAAUUAAUAGUGACAAAUGAAAAUAAAAAAAGAAAUGUUGAAAAAUAAAAAUAAAAUUGGUCAUUUUCGUGCAUUUUAUUUUAUUUGUGUGUUUUGAUUAUUCUCCUUUUUAAACAAUUGCAUAAAAGAAAAAAAAAUGAAAAUGAUUGUAGGUGAUUUUCUUGAGGAAAGUAUUCGAAAGUUGAUGUAUAAUGUCAAAGAAGAGUCUUCGUUGUAGGUGGGACGAGAGAGAAAGCUACUUUGAAUUUUGAAACUUUACCAUCUAAAAUCAAAACAAAAUCAAGUGCAAUUUAUGCAAUUUUGUAGGAAAUUAUUAUUAUUAUUAUAAUGGUAUAACAAGUUUAAUAUAAAAAAUAAAAAAAUUGUAGUAUAAAAAUAUUAUAAUAAAAUAAAUAAAUUUAUUUUUAAAAAUAUGAAAAUUAAUAUAAAAAUAUUAGGGAAAAAUUAUGUGUACACAUAAAAAAAUAAAAAAUAAAAAUUGAUGGAUUAAAUUACUAUUGAAAUUAUAAUCCGACUUAAAGUCAAAUUAGAAGAAUUUUAUGAAAUGUCAUAUCAAAACUAAAAUACUAAAAAAUGUGCAGAAUCAAAAGAAAAUUAUAAUUUUGUUCGUGAAAUUAUGACUAUAAACAAUAACUCAAUUCAUUUUCAACUCCAGUAAAAAAUUUGAUAAGUUGUGUAUAUGCAUGUCUUGUUUAAAUCUCAAUAUCUAUAAGAUCUAGUGAAUAAUAGUGUGGACUCCGCAUUUUGCACGAUGUGUUCUCACUCAAUAGCGUGACUUGCUUUUCGUUUAUUUGUGAAAAAUUAUGAUUUUUAGAAAAUACUUGGAGUCGCCACUUAUUUUUGUUUUAUUUUUUUAAGGGAAAACAAAGUAAGAAAAAAACUCUAAGUGUGACUCUUUAUUUAGAAAAAACGGUUUGUGAAAAACCAAACCUGGGUUUGGGGGGUUAGGUUACUUAUUGAGAAGGUAGGGUAAAGACCGUAGCACCCCUCUAAACCCCUAAAAAUGGGUCUCUACUAAAUAAGGUGAGUCAAACCUGACAAUUAACUAGGAGAUCAAUGGAUACUAAAAUGAUCAUAGGUCAAAAGCAAGUCAUGAUAAUGAAUAAAUAAAAAAAGUGAGAGUGAGAACGUACCUUGACAGUAGGUAAUAAAGCGUUAUCAUGGAAACAAGGUUAGCUUAAGUAUAAAUUUAUUACACGCAUAUCAAAGAUCAAGACAAAAAUCAAGCAAUAUUCGUUAAGCAUAACAUUUGACAAUCAGAAGAGAAAACUCAUAUGUGGGACCCCCACCAAAGCCCAAUUUAUCUUGCACGAAUUAGUCUCACAAAUUUCAUUAUUUUGGAAUUAUGAAAAAUUCAUUUUUGCUUAUUUAAAAUAAAGAUAAACAAAAAAUUAUUUGAUAAUUGAAGAAAAUUUGUACAUGUGCAUACCAAAAUGAGAAUGGUAGCAGACUCAUUAAAAUCAGGAUUUUUGGCAACCUAAAACCCUAAUAAAUGAUGAAAAGUUGUAGAAAUUAAAAAAUAUUUGAAAAUUGGAGUGGAAUUAAAAUUGUUCAAGAGAAAACUAGAGUUUUGAAAAUUGAAGUCUAAAAAAUUAUUUGAGAAUUGGAGUUUUGAAAAUUAAAUUUAAGAAUUUAAAUUUUUAGAAAUUAAAUUUGAAAGAAAUUUGAAAUUUGAAAAUUAUUUGAGAAUUGGAGUUUUCAAAAAUUAAAUUUAAGAAUUGGAAUUUUGGAAAUUAAAUUUUGAAAGAAAUUGGAAUUUUGAAAAUUAUUUGAGAAUUGGAGUUUUGAAAAUUAAAUUUAGGAAUUGGAGUUUUGGAAAUUAAAUUUGAAAGAAAUUGGAGUUUUAAAAAUUAAUUGAGAAUUGAAGUUUUGAAAAUUAGUUUUAAGAAUUGGAAUUUUGGAAAUUAAAUUUGAAAGAAAUUGGAAUUUUGAAAAUUAUUUGAAAAUUGAAGUUUUGAAAAUUAAAUUUAAGAAUUUGAAUUAAAUUUGAAAGAAAUUGGAAUUUUGAAAAUUAUUUGAGAAUUGAAGUUUUGAAAAUUAAAUUUAGGAAUUGGAGUUUUCGAAAUUAAAUUUGAAAGAAACUGGAGUUUUGAAAAUUAAUCGAGAAUUGGAGUUUUGAAAAUUAGUUUUAAGAAUUGGAAUUUUGAAAAAUUAUUUGAAAACAAAAGUUUUGAAAAUCAGAAUUUCGAAAAAUUAUUUGAGAAUGGAAUUUUUAAAAGAUCAAUUUUUUAACAUAAAAAGAUGGAUUAGGAGGGUGACACGUCAAACAUUGGAUAGCAGCCCUCUAGAGUGGAAUCCCAAGGUUCUCCUCAAAAAAUACCUCAAUGCCUAAAUGGCUAAGCAUCUGUCUAAAAAAAAAAAGUAGCAAUAGUAGGUUUUCCAUUUGUUCCAGUCACUACUAAUAUCUUAAUACUUCUUGGAAGAAUUUCUGCAGCAAAAUCCAACUCAGACAGUAUUCUCUUCCCUGAUUGCAACAAGAAGGAAAGUCCAUGACUUUCCAAGGGAACUCUUAGUGAAACAACUACCAUUUCGGCAUCCUUGAGAAGCUUUGUGUCAAAAUGUCCAAGAACGAUUUUCAAAUGACCAUGCUUUUCAAACAGGAGAUCGAGCUCUAGCGAGAGCAAGCUUUGUUGCAGCUCUACCAGAUUUUCCCAACAAGAAAACAGGAAGCUCUCAACCAAACCCAAAUUCACGAAAGAGAAUCAAACCAUAUGGGAAACAUCCGGAUCGGCGCGGUAGCUACAGUCUUGUAACAAAUCUCACUUGGGGUCUAGAGAUUCAUGCUACCUCAAGCUUUUUCUUAUCAGCCUCAUCAUCCCAUGGUUUCACAUCCUAGUGUACAAUCGCAUACCCAAGAAUGCACAAACACAAGGAGUAGGGAGAAAACAACAAAAACAUAGCACAAAUGAAGAAAAUAAUAUGAACCAUCAAAAGCCACACUUCAUGUCUUAGUCAGUGGACUUAAAGAUAGGUGGAUUAAAAGGAUUUCUAAAUGUCACAAAAGAGAUAAAAAUUAGUUGGACCAAUUUUUGAACACAAAUUGGAGGAACAAAGGAGCCAUUAACUAUGAAAAAAAAAAUAAAGAUUGGUCGUAUUGGAGAAAGACAACAUUUGGUAUUGCAGAAGAGAGACAACAUUGUGUCACAUGAUGCAUGCACAAAUGACCCUUCCCAUGGGCUUAUAUUGGAGGUGGGAAGCUUCUGAAAACUCCUUAAGCCAUCUAUACUAAGCUAUUGGUGGGAAGAGUGUGGAAGCUUCUUAAAAAGCCUAGGGAUGUCCACAUAUCUCUACAUUAUGGUGGAAGGCAUGAGAAAAGUCUAAGACUUUCUAGAGAGCUCUAGAGGUCUCUUGUAUAUUCUUGUAUGUAAGCUUGUACAUAGAAUUAUAUAGGGUGUUCUAGAAUAUCCAUGAGUUGUAAGGAACCCUCUAAGGUUCUAGAGAGUUCCAUUGGUGUUUAUAAAUAAGUGAGGGUCUCAUUUGGCCAAGGCACCAAGCAAGUGAGUUUCCAAGCAUUAUAUAGCUUUCUUUGAAAGCAGUAAAACUUCUAUUAUUUAAGUGUUGCCUACUACGCCCUCUAAAGUUUUUAAGUUGGGUGCGUCUUAGCGUAGCAAGCUAAGUAUUAGGAGUAAUGUUAACUUAUCAAGAUCAAGGGUCUUGACUUGUCUAAGUGUCGCACAAGCUUAGGAAAAGACUAAGUUUAUGACAGUUGGCAAUAGGUUGUGGAUAAGUGGUGGUGGUGAUGUGGAGAAAGUGAAGGAAACAUAGAAAAAUAAAGACGGGAAAGGAAAAGAGAGAGAAAAAAAGACUACUAGGUAGGGGAAGCUAUGAGCGGUGGCCAACGACGACACUAAUGGAUAAUGUCGUCAAUAGUGGCGGUAGAUUCGAUGGAAGCGGUAGAUUCGGUGGGAAGUGAGAGGUGACGGGGAAUUGAACUUUGGUUCUCCUCCCAUUGCAAUCACCAUCAUUCUCAUUUUCCGCUUAGGAUCAAUGUGCCCCCUCUAAACAACAUUGACAACCCCGUCAUCUUUUUCAUUUCUAGUGUUGUUUUCUAUAAUUGGAACUAGGUUUUCAAAAACAUCAACUAUCUUUGGAGGAGUAGUACUAGUAUUGUGAAUGAUUGAAACUGUGAUUUCAAAAUUAGGUUGGGUUCCAACAUAGAGGUAAUAGAGGUUGUUAAGCCUUUAGGAAGACAUGCACAAGUGAACAAUGUUCUUAGAGAUUAUAAUGGUGGAAGAAGGCCAUAAGAAGACAAGAAAAGAAAAGGGAAAAGAGAAAAGGACUCUCUUUCACGCCACCUACCCAUUUUCAGUGUUGACACCUUUCUCCCAUUGGCAUCAUCCUCUCCAAUCGUCACCUACCAAUCAUCACCACAUCUCUUACUUUCAUGACAAUUUUUUUUAAGAUAAUUUUGGAACAAAUUCAAAAACAUUGUUAGAGUGCAUGCAUUAUUAAAUUUUUUUCUCCACUUUAUACUUAAAAUGAAAAGAUAAAAGCAAAAUUCCAUAAACCUUAUAGCUCGUUUAACCAUAUAACUUAAAAACAAUUUUUUUAACACUUUCAAUUGUGGUUGUUCAUUAUUCUCAAAAAAAAAUAAAAAAUAAAAUAAAACUAGAUUGAAAAAAAAAUCAGGAAACAACCUCAUUGAUUUAAAUUAUUAUUUAAUUACUCCCAUAAUCGUAUGAUUAUUCUUAUGUUUUUGUUAUGUUAUAUUAACAAGUGAAUACUAUGUUGUUAAUUCUGGAUAUCCUUGUACUAUAGGUUUUCUUCCUCCAUAUUGAGGUAAAAGGUAUUAUUUGUAAGAUUAUCCUAGCAGAAGUUGUUAAUCGAAGACUAAUAAAGAAUUGUUCAAUUAUAGGCAUUCUCGUUUAUAAAUAUAAUUGAGUAUUGUUUUGUGUGUUAAAAGCACAUUUUUCAGUUUUAAAAAUGAUGUCAUCUUACAAACCAAGUAGACAACUAUAAAUAGUUGUAGCUUGUUGUACUCUUUAUAAUUUCAUUCAUAAAUAGACUUAAAAUGAUGUUAUGUUUAGACAAUGGGAAGAAGAACUUGAAUUUGAAGAUAAGGACGAUACUACAAUUGAAGUAAGUUAUGCAAUGACUUUAUCAGAUGAAACAACAACGACUAUGAUAGCUUAUCGAGAUCGUAUUUCAUAGUAGAAAUGGAAUGCUUAUGUUAAUAGUUUGUAAACAUUAGUCAUUAAAUAGUUAUAUUAAUAUACGAAGUAAGGAUGUGAAAUAUGAAAAUUGUUUAACUAUUAUAAUUGACUUGAAGUAUUUUGUGUGUACUUGGUUUGCAAUUGUUUUUGUUUCAAUUUAUUUUAUUUUAUUUGUUUUUCCUAUUAAAAAAAUCAAUCCAACUAUUUAUUUUACUCUCAUUAAAAAAUGACUAUUAAAAUUAUUUUUAAUCUUAUAGUAAUUUUUGUUUUAUUUGAAUAAAAAAAAUUGUUUAAUAAUUAAAACAAUUAUUUAUCUAUAAUUUAUAUAUAAUUUGAAUUUUAUUUAUUUAUUUUUAGUGAGAUUUAACUUGAAUGUGAUUUAUAUUAAUGUAAAUUAAAUUUUAAAAAUAAAAAUAGAAAAAUUGUUUUUAAAACCAAAGUCGAUUCUUUUAUACAAACAAGUUUUUGUUUUUUAUCUUUAAAAAUUAUUUUUGAAAACAAUUGGCCAAACAAUUUUUCUUUUUAAAAAAUACUAAAAAUGCCAUUUUUUAUUCUUUAUCUUAAAAAUAAUUUUUUAAAUUAAAAAACACAAUCAAACACCUUAUUUUGUUUUUAUUUUUGGUGUCUGGUUGCAUAAUUUUCCCAUUUUUUAAAACUGAAUUUCAAGCAAGCUCUUAAUUAUGUAAUUAAAAACUUGUUUGGUAGUAAUUUUAAGAAGCGAUUAUAAUAUUCCUAACACUUAAAAAAAAAAUUAUUUUUCAAGUAUACAACGUAGAAAUACUUGUGAGGAUCACUGCUACACAUGCUCUAUGUAGACAUAUCCCACUUCUAAGUUCUAACUCUUCAACGUCUGAACUCUUUUGAUGAAAUCCACACUCAAACCACCCAAAUCCAAGUCCCAAAUGCAGCCACUGCUUCAUCCAGGUCUGCUUCAUUCUCAUUUCAUCACUUCCUUUUUCUAUUAAUUAUUUUAUGAUUGUCCUUUUUGUUUCUUUUGUAUGAAUCCUAAGUGUCUUAUUGUUUUCCAUGGGCAGAAAAUACUUCCAUGAGAAAUUCUUCCCCAGAAAAUUUCCCCAACCUUGUCUGGUAAUAUACCCAUGUUUUUUUCCUAAUCUUUUGCGUCAAGCUUGGAAACUUCUGCUUCUGUCUUGUGCCCCUUAUGAUGGGUUUUGGAGUCAAAAUAAGAGACGUAAUGAUGAAUUCCAGAUAAUCCAUAUCUUAAAGUGAGAAAAUAUUCAAAAAAGAAUUUGUUGUGUUGAGAGGGAUUGCUUGAGAAGUUCAGGAUUAGGGAAUUAUUUUAUCUCAGUAUGGUUUAGAAUUCCAGUUUGGCAAAUUCAGGAUUCAGGACUGGCUUUGGGCUCAAAAUGAUUUGGGGUUUCUACUCAGAAACAUCCAAAAUUGAACUAUUUGACAAAUUUGGGGUGUGGGAGCUGUUCCUUUGUGGGAUAUUUGUGAAUGAUUAUGGAAUUGCUGAACUGUAUUACAUAAAUUCAAAUUUUAUUUGCUUGAUGGGGAAUUGGCCUGGGAAAAGAUAGCUGAUCACAUUAUCCCACCUUUGAUAUCAGCUGUUGCUUUGAUUCUCAAACUUUUAAAUGGAGAAAUGACUGUUGUAGAGAAGAAUAAAGGGAUAAGGUUUUGUUUGGUGGACUUGUUUUCCAUGUUUCUUCUCCUCUAAAGGUUAGGGGUGAAAGCAACUUAUAGUUGAUGGUUGUCUUCAGAAAUAAGCUGAUCAUAUCAUAGCUGACCGAUUUCUUCUUUGGCCAUCUUGAAGCAAUUUUAGUAUUUAUUUUAUAAGCUGAUUUUGGUGUCCAAGAAAUUAUUCUUAACAUAAUUAUUUUUUUUUUAAAAUAUCAAUUAUAUUUGAUUGGUAUUAUCAAUUAUGCUUUGCGGACCAAGCAUGACUCAUCUUAUUUGGGCCUCCCACUACUUUAAUCCUACACAGAUGACACAUUUUUAUUAAGAUCCAGAUCCUAUUAUCAUGGACUGGGCAAUGGAGGCUCAGAUCCGGCCGUAAUCAGACAAGCUGCUGGGCCGCCAUGGCUGCAACUACGGUUGCCUGUAAAAUGAAACCCAUUUCACAGAUCAUCCGGGUUGCCCCACCAAGAAACGAGCCCUUCAUAAUCUCUGAUUUACUUGAAAAGUAUCAUCAUAUCCCCUCGAUUUUCUCAUUGGGAACCAAACAGAUCGAGGACCCUUUGAAGGACCCUAAAUACAUCCAACCAAACAAUCAUAAAUAAAUAAAUAAAGAUGGACAUCACGGGUCCAGGGAGGGCUCAGAUCCGCCUGUAAUCAGACAAGAUCCAUGUUCGCCAUGGCUGCAACUACAGUUGCAUGUGAAAAAAAGGGCAUAGAAACCCAUUUCACACAGUCCGGGUCGCCCUUGGAAAGUGUCAUCACAGCCACUUAAUUUUCCUGCACAUUUUCUCAGCAACCAAAUAGAUACAGAUCCUUCUCAGAAAACACAUUUUAAAACACAAACAAAUAAACCAAAACAAAACAAAGACCAGACUCAGCGCGGAAGUGCAUAGCGCGUAAAAGGAAGGCUCAGAUUCGCCUUUUAUCAGACAAGAAAAAGAUGACCGUCCUGGCUGCAACCACAGUUGCUUGUGAAACAAGGCACAAAAGGUCGCCCAAACCAUCCGGGUUGCCCCGCCAAGAAACGGACAUUCCCAGUGCCUGACUUACUCUGAAAACGUCAUCACAGCCUUUUAUGUUGCCCAUAUGAACAGAGAGAGAGCGCUGUUGAUUUUCCAGAGAAUCAAGACAGCCUCUGAUGUACAUGUACACACGUGUAUGAGAAGCCCUUUUCUGAAGUUCCCAAUAUUUCCUACCAGUCCAGCCCGCGCACAGGAUACAAAUUUUUUUUAAAACAUAUGAUGUUAUUUGGUAAUCUGAUCAUGAUUUGCAGGCAAAGGUCGUGUUUUCCAGCCUGGCUCAAAAAUCGUGGAUUUAGGGUUCGUGAAAUUUAAAUCCAAUAGCACAAAAGCAAAGAGACCCCUAGAACAGAUCCAGAAAACACAGGGAGCAAAGAAAAAAACAAUUUUUUUGGUUUUCGUGGGGGGUUUUGCAUGGAUUUUCUCGGAAAUCAAACGAGGAUGAAUUUUCCCGGAAAUCGAAAGGGGGAUGGAUUUUCUUGAGAAUCAAACGGGGGUUGCAAAAAAAUAAUAAUAAUAACAUGAUUAGAUUAGUACCUGCGAGGAUUGAGAGUGGCAGAGGAAAAUAGGGCCUUUUUAGGGAUUCUCUCGUCCGGAGGGCAACUUCAGAAAAGGACUUCUUGAUGCCCGAGUGAGAGAAGUGGAUGGCCCUUUCGAUUUUUAUAUUUAGUAGAGAGAGAAAACAAGGGAAACAAAUCAUGAGAACAAUUUCGCCAUGGCUGCAACUACAGUUGCACGUGAAAAAAGGGCAUAGAAACCCAUUUCACAGACAAUCCGGGUCGCCCAGCCAAGACAUGGGUCCUUUCAAAUAUCUGAUUUACUUGGAAAGUGUCAUCACAGCCACUUAAAUUUCCUGCACAUUUUCUCAGCAACCAAACAGAUACAAUAUCCUUCUCAGAAAACACAUUUUAAAACACAAACAAAAAAACCAAAACAAAACAAAGACCAGACUCAGCACGGAAGUGAAUAGCGCGUAAAAGGAAGGCUCAGAUUCGCCUUUUAUCAGACAAGAAAAGGAUGACCGUCAUGGCUGCAACCACAGUUGCUUGUGAAACAAGGCACAAAAGGUCCCAUCGCACAAACCAUCCGGGUUGCCCCGCCAAGAAACGGACAUUCCCAGUGCCUGACUUACUCUGAAAACGUCAUCACAGCCUUUUAUGUUGCCCACAUGAAGAGAGAGAGAGCGCUGUUGAUUUUCCAGAGAAUCAAGACAGCCUCUGAUAUAUAUGUAUAUAUAUAUAUAUAUACACAC